rnacentral:lncRNA from 1 species
AGUGACCACCUGAAUAUUGUGGUGAAGUGUGAAAAAUUUCAAAGCAGUCCAAACAUAUGAGAAACAUGAAGGAUGGAAAGUAUGCGUACUAAAAUUGUAUCAAACCUUAAAAGACAGCACAACACCAGGUUCCAGAGCAGAUCCUGAUUUCAUAAUCACCCCCUCACAUACAAUGGCAUGCCUAAGUUCACAGCCAUCUUCUAUGGUGACAUUGUCCCAUAUAUAGCAUCCCUCUAUGUGUACAUUUGACCCGAUUUUGCAUCCUAUUCCGACGACGGAAUUUAAAAUCUUCGUGUUCUUGCCAAUUUUGGUGCCAGAUCCUAUAACAGAGAAUGGGCCAACAACAGCUGAUUGUGCUUGCGAAAUAUCUGAUAGGGGAGAAAAGAAUUUGUCAAAACUUCAUACAUUCAAUUAAGGGUUAAAUAUGUUCGGUCCCUAUAAAAUUGGGACCUUUUAAGUUCAGUCCUUACUUAAUUUUAAUAGUUUUUUUAGUCCUUAAAAAAAAAAAAAUCUGCACUCAGUAUUAGUCCCUCCUCAAUUCAAAUUUGUUUAAUUUAUGCUUAAACUCUUGAGUUUUUAAACAAUUUUUUGCAGACGUGUUAAGAACAUUACUAAAAGUUCCUCUGCAAAAAAUUGUCGCAAAAUUUGAUUUCUACGUCCAGAUUUUGUUAAUUUUAUCUUUAACUUUUGCCGUUUUAAAAAAUUCAUAUUUAAUUCGUUUCAUGUUAAAAAAAUCUAAAUUUUGGUAGAUGAACCUUUCAUAGUGUUCUAAACUUGUCUUAAAAACAUUGUUCAAAAAUUUAAGAGUUUAAGGAUAAUUAAACAAACUUUGUUUUAAGUUGUAACAGGUACUAAAAUUAGAAGUAAUUUUUUUUUUGUAAGGACUAAAAAACCUAUUAAAAUUAAGUAAGGACUAAACUUAGAAGUUCCCAAUUUUAUAGGGACCAAAAACAUAUUUAACCCUUCAAUUAAUGGAAACAACACAAUAGGUAAAAUUAGUUUUGACCCAGCAAUCUACAAGGGUGAUACGAUAAUUACUUUCUUUAUGAAAUAAUACAAUAAUUACUUGCUGACUAAAUCUUUCAGAAAAAUGAAGUUUAUAUAUAAUGAACAGCAUGAAUUAAGCAAACAGGAAAACAUAUAACUGGAAACUAGAGCCAAUAUAAGCUUGCCAUUUUAUCAUUUAAUGUUAUAAACUUCUCACCAACACACCCAAUCAACACCAAAACUUUAAUCCAUACCUGAGCCACGGUAUAUUCCCUGUCUUUCAAGCUUAGUAGCUGUGUUGCCAAAAUUCAUAACAUCUGGUACCAGUGGAUAUGUCCAUCUAUGAAUUAUAUCCUUGCUGACAGUGUCAUAGCUUCGGAAAUUAUCAAUCCUUGCAGCAUAAUCUGCGCGGAUUUCAUGAACAAAAAUUUUGUAUCCCAUUAUCUGAAAGAAAUAUAAGGUAAUGUUGAUGAGGUGCAUACAGAAUGCUAAAAUCAAGAAUAAGUGCCACAAAAGAAUAUAUUGGAAAAUAAAUGAUGAGCUUUAGGACAUGUGCAAAAAACAAAAGAUAUUUUCUAAAUCUAAAUGUCCAAUGCAAGUCCAUAAACUGUUGAAGUGUUUCAGUACUGAUGUAAAGUUUAUCAAUACGAAAGAGCAUUCAAUUUUUUAAACUGAUGUACAGUUUAUCAAUACGAAAGAGCAAUCAAUUUUUUAAAUGUUCUCAACAAACAAGGCACCUCAGACGAAAUGUAGGUCUACCUGUAAGAGAUAAACAAGUAGAUCUUUUUUCACGCAAAAGGAUAAGCUUUUUCCAUCUAUUAAAAAGGAUAAGCUGAUUCAAAAGGACUUACGAAACAAUAAUUCAUGACAGUUCAACAUGUGGAAGAGAAAUUACAUCAUCAAGAAGCAGUCCCUUGACAAAAUGACGCCGAAGAUGUUGGUAGUCAAAAUUGUCUGUAAAUAGGCUAAGGACUUCCGGCGAGCAGAUGUCAAUGUAACAAUCCUGCAGAAAAGAAAUCAUUCACUUAAUGACCUCAGAAAGUUUCAUAAAGCUUCUCAGGAGGGAGAUAUGACCAAACAAAGUAGCAUUAAUAAUAACAGUAACUAGCUCUGUAAUCAACUGACAAUAAACUUCAGAUAGUAAUAAAUCAUUGACUCAUUUGGGAAUCAAACAAUUAUUUCCUAGCAUAGCCCAAUCAUGAGGUUGAACUGACAAUAAACAUCACAGGUAUUUUUUUUUAGGAGAAAACAUCACAGGUAUUGUUAACUGAGCCUGAACUAAACUGCAUGUUAUUUUCAUGGUCAUGAAUAUCUAAAAAUACAUAAAUACAUGCAUUUGGUCCAAUAAUAAUUCUUUUACGAGUACGUAGCCGCAAACCAAUUACUCUUUAGCAUGAAGUUAACCUGAAAGCAAAGCAGAAAGAUAUGAAAAAAAGGGACUCAACCUGCUUGUCAUGGUGCAGAGAGAGGGAAGGAUUAUCAGCAAGCAAUGAAUUUUCAAGAUGUAGAGUGCCUUUUGAGAAGUCUGCUUUAUCCUCGUAAUACAAAAGUUGCUUGGAAUUAGGAUCAAUAGCCAUGAAAAUUUCAUCGGUACCAAGUCGAGACUGAUGGAUAGCUGGAUGAGUUUUGGACCGUUUAAUAACCAUGGUCAUUACAGCAUUACUAUCUUUCUUCUUCCUUUCUUUAUGUUCUAAAAGUGCCUGAGUAAGCGACAUGUUGCUUACAGUAUCUCCACUGAUAAGGACAAAGUCUCCUUGUAUCUUCAAAAUAGAAAAUUAUCCAAUAGUGUUACUACACAAAACUAAAUUAGUAAAAACGUGAAAAGAAACUACAUUAAUAAUCACUACUCAGACAGUCACAAACAACAACAGCAUGAUGUGUAAACUGUAUUAACUAUUUUAAAUAAUUCACCAAAUUAUAAAAACAAUUUACUAUGACACAUGUAAGGUUCUGAUUGCUUCCUUGUUCCUCUAAAGAACCAAUAGAACAGAGCAUACAUAAAUUCUCAUCAUACAGCUAUGCUGCUACUACUAAUGAAACAAGAGGUGAGAAUGACUUAUUAUCUUUUACAAGACCAAAAUCUGUUUAUUACAAAAACAAAAAAAGAGAACUCAAUUCUAAGAAAGCCAUAACCUUAUCUAGACUAGGAGGUAGCUAGGGUUCUUUACAUGUAAGAAGACACCUCAUCUUAAAAGCUUGGAAGCCCAAAUACUUCAAAAAUGAAAGUAUUGUUUCCUAACAUGCAUUUAAUACCGAUAUGGGUCUGAUAUGUACCUAGAAUAUGUACCCAGAAAGUAUCCAAUAUUUUUUAUUCUUACUAAAAAUAUUCCCCUCAAUACUCCUCAGGUACAUCUUCGAAACAUAUUAUCAACUAAAGACAUUAUUGCCAUCCAGAUAAGAUACAUCUUUAAUGCAUCUUACUAAAUACUAACUAAAGACAAAAAAUUAUGUUUUUGUGACACAUUCUGUUAGGAGCCAAGAGAUUCCAAAAUUCUCUAGAAGGAAUAGGGACCACUAAGUUUAUGCAGCAGUUAGUAGUUAGAGAGGGAAAGGCUGGAAAUUAGUAGUUAGUAGCAGCAAGGGAGAUUACAAAUACUGUUACCCCCAUGUUUGGGAUCCAUUCAUUUUGAUUGAUCAUGAUAAAAACUGUAUUCAGUUGGAAAAGGGAAAUUCUCCCUUGCAGAAAAAUCCCUGCAUGUGUUUCUUUGAUUCUUUCUCUCUAAAAUCUGAUUUUUUACCCAGCGGAGCCAACACAUUCAUAGUAGAAAUAAUAUAUUCUGAUACAGAUGUGAAAAACAUAUGUCACUAAGCCUAUUGUUGGAUGAUCACAAUUACUUGUGAUCAUCAUAUAUUAACUAUUAAAAUAUUAAAGUAUUAAUGAGCAACAAAUAAGUAAUGCAAAUGUAUUUUGUUAGCAUAUCUUAGCCAUUCCUUGAUUUUCAAAAAAAAUUCUUUAAUCCUUAAAUCAGUGUCAUAUUGUACCCAUAUCAUACUAUGUAUCCUGGUUUCUUAACUGAAAACCAAUUCUAACCAAGAACACAACAACCAUUGUUCAAUACAGACUUCAAAUUAUAAUAUCAACUUUUAAAGUCUUACAAUACAUGUGAAUUACCAAUGUAGCAUAUUUACAAUAGCUAGAAAUUUUCAGACAUAAGUUGAAAUUGAAGAACGAAAUGAAGAAAAUACAUACCACAUUGCGCUCGUAUAUAACACGCAGUGCAUCUCCAGCACUGACACAAUUUUGAGACUCAAUAGUUGUUACAGUAAAAUUAGGUUGAUUAAACUCAGAUUUCUCCAAAUAGUUAAUCACCUGCUUCGCAUGAGCACAGCAGAAAACAAAAACCUCUUCUACACCAGCUGAUUCAAGCCAUGUCAAUGUGUAAUUUAUCAUUGGAACAUUCGCCAAUGGCAAAAGCACCUUAAAUCAAGAAACAAAUAAAUAUAUCAAAAUUCAAAUAAAAAUAAUGAAUUAAUGUUAAUGAGUAAUUUAUAAUCGAAGCAUUCACCAAUGGCAAAAGCACCUUAAAUUAACAAACAAAUAAGGCCUUGUUUAGAUAAACAGCUUAUUUGCAGCUUAUAGCAUAAGCGCUUAUCAUGAUAACCACUUAUGUAUAACCUAUUUCUAUAUCAAAAGUAAAUUAAGUUAAAUUGUUUUUAUAUAAGCUAUAAACUGUUUUCAUAUGGUGAACUGAUGACAAUAAGCUGAAAACAGUUUUUAAACAUGUCAUCAGUUAUUUCCAUAAAGCCUCACAAAAUUUAUGUCAUUACAUAAGCUCAAAUAAGUAAAUCCAUGUUCUUAUAUAUGAAUGUUGAAAUUGUUCUUAUAUAUGAAUAUGAAUGCUGAAACGAACAACGACAACAACAACAACAAAGAAGGCUUUUCCGACUAAGCGGGAUCGGCUGCAUGGAUCAAAUUACGCCAUAAUAUUCUAUCAUAAACCAUAUUUCAGUCCAACUUAUUAAUUUCUAAAUCUUUCCUAAUAGGUUCUCUUAUAAUUUUUCUCGGUCUUCAUCUGCCCCUAGUGAUCUGACAAUCCUCCAUCUGAUCUACUCUCCUAGCUACAUCUAUACAUGCCCAAACCACCUACGCCUAUUUUCAACCACCUUUUCUACUAUAGUUGGUACUCCAACUCUCUCUAUCUAAUAUUGUCAUUUCUAAUCCUAUCCCAUCUAGUCUUACCACACAAAUGUUCAAAUUAACCAAUGUGAAAUUUAUCAUCGCAACAAUCACCAAUGGAAAUAGCACCUUAAAUUAACAAAUACACUGUAGCACCUACACUUUUGAUCACCGACACAUAUGAUUACAUUGAAUGAUGUAAUUUUCUUUUCAAAUUAUCAUCAGUGUCGUGCCAGUGUCAUAUCAAUGUCAGUGUCUCGUGUCAGUGCUUCAUAGAUAUAUCACAUUUCAAAAACUCAAAACAAAAACAAUGAAUUCAUAAAUUCAACCAAAAAUAAUGAAUAAACGCAUCAAAAUUCAACAAUUCAAGCAAACAAUAAUGAAUUCAUGUUAACCAUGAACGAAUAUUGCAAGAAUCAACAAAAAAAAAAAUAGAAAUUACUUUGGGGCGUUCAAGAGUGAUAGGUCUAAACUUGGUAGUAAAACUAUCAGCUAACAGAAUCGCUUGUAACGGAACACGAACAAGCUCGUCGUGAUCCUCUGAAACCCUAGCAGCGCUUUUCUUCGGUGCUCCCAUUUUCUUCUCAACAAUUGCAACAAUGAAGGAAAAAAUUCGAUGCUAAAAUUUUGAUUUCGAUUUUUCGAGAUUCUUCAGUGUUUGAUUUUUCAGUGAAGAAAUUGAAUCGCAGGAACUGAGGAGAAGUGUGAACGUCGGAGAUUAAGUGUGCCGCCGGAGGUGAACGGCGGCGUGGGUGGUUCGAACGAGAGAAUCACGAUGGUGAAAUGUUUUUUGGGAUUUCUGGGAAAUAGGUGGUUAUAGCUUUUUGGUAAAACUACUCCGCCCCUGUUUGGUUCUGCGGCGUUUUUCACUGCAAACAGGAUUUCAUAGCAUUUUAAAAAGGAUGUUUGGCAAUCAGUUAGAAACGUGAUUCUUCCUUUCAAAAUCGAUUACAGGUGAAGCUUUUGCGUCUGGCUACAAUCGAUUUUAUGGAAGUCAUAUGAUAAUAUUUUACAGCUUUACCCUUUUCAUCAUGCGCUGAUUUCUAUCUGUUAUAUGCUACAGUGCCAUUGUUUAGAGGUUAUUGACGAGGAAAAUAAUGGACUUUUUGGUAGUAAUAAAAAAUAAAUGAUUGAGAAAAUAUUACCAAAAUAAAUGAAUGAGAAAGUUGAUCUACAUCUUCAAACCCAUUUUAGUAAUUUCCACCUCCGAAAUCAAUUUUGACACAAAAUAUCCAAACAUUAUCUUACAUGCAAAUCACUUUAAGUUAAACUCAAUUUUAAUCAAAAUUAAUUCUCACUGCCGCAUAACCAAAGACACGUCCGUCAAACUUUACUUUAUUACCUUCGAUAGUUGCGCACCGAUUGUCGAACACUAUUUCGUAGUUAUUUUUUUCGCAAUCAUUUUUAUCAUUUUGAUUUAUCCAUGUCGAUUUUUAAGAUUCAAAUAAAUGUUUUUUUGGGCUAUAGGUGGCUAUAAUUUUUUUUUAAUAGUAAUUUUUUUAAGAAGCUAAAAUUGAAUAUUAAUAAUCAAACCUCUUUAGUCUUUACUUACCUCGUUUAAAGAGAAGUAAAAAGAAUAAUCAAGUUACAUCAGAAACAGAAACCGGUAAGAAUAAAAAUAAAAUAUCAUUACAAUAAAUUUAAAAGAUUAGUCCGCCACAAAUCAUAGUUAAAAGCAAGAUUUUUGUGCUUUGUUUUCAACCAACUAUUAGAUUGAGCCUUAAUAUUGUCAAGCAAUUGAUGAAUAGUAUUUUGUGAAUUCUUGAAGCUUUUUGCAUUUCUUUCUUUCCAUAAAACCCAAGGUGAAGCAAACCACACUAAACGAAUAAUAUCUUUCUUGUGUUUUAAAAAGUCUUCGAAGGAACCAAACUGAGCUAAAUGAACUGAAAUAUUAAGCGACAUAACCAAGACGAAGCCUAACCAAUCGUACACAACAAACCAAAGUUGACAGAAAAAAUCUCAAUGAAAAAGAAAUAGAUAAACAUUGUCCUCUAGAUUACCACACCCCCACACAUUGUUGAGAAGUAUCCAGAAGAACACCUCUCUCCACCACAAGGUAUUUUGAAUAGGAUCUUAUAUAAAAAAAUUAAGAGAUAUUUGUUUUGAGAAAAGUAUGUUAUUUUUAUUAUGUUAAAUAUAUUUAAUGGAUUUUUUAUUUAGAAAAUCUAAGUUAGUGAAUGUUAAAUUUUGGCUCUAUGUUGCUCAUAAUAAUUUUAUUAAUUAUUCAACCCUAAUUUUUGUACUCCGUGUAAUUUACCAAUCAUGUUUCGUUAAAUAUGCGACAUCGUCGCUAAGCAAUCUUAUAUUAUUUCAAAAAUUAUUUUUAACCCUUAUAUUGCUGAAGAGCAUCAAACCAGGUAUAUGGUGAGAGUGAGUCGAAAAUAAUUAUGAAUUAAAUGAAUGAACAUGAACAAUUGUAUUUUUAACAAAUUAGAGGGCUCAUUAUGAAUUAGUGAAGCCCUUUGAGUGAUAUCUGAAUUUGAAGUGGCAAUAAUACAUGUAUUUUUUUUUAAUAAGUUAAAUUAGUCCGCCAAAAUUGACACCGUGUAGAAUCGAACAUGAAACCUUGAAGAAUAGCACACUCAGACUCAAAUAAACACUACCAUACCAACCCAAGUGGGUUCAAAGAACAAUACAUGUUAUUUACUUAUUUGUAAAAAAAUAUAUAAUAUAUUGUCUAAUUUCUUAAUAGGUGCUCAUUAAACACAUUGAAUUUCAACAUUAUUUAACUGAAAUUUGAAUGCAAUUUAUAUUUAGGUCAUGUUAAAUUGUGCCUUUAGGUACAAGUUAAAGAACUUAGAAUGAAAUUAAAAAAUAAGUUUUAUAUUGAAAAGCCUAAAAAGAUUGUGGCAUUUAGCCUGGGUAAGUGAAGUUUUUUCCCAUCAUGGGAAAGUUUGAUUUUUACCAUUAGAUUAAAGAGGUGUAUUGAUCUUAUCAUGGUCUACCUGCACUUUAUUCAUCCUUUAGAUCUAGAAUUCUAUUCUACACGGGAAUGAAAUGAUUUUCCUCCCCUAUCUCUUCCAUGUCCCCCCCACCACCACCAGCAGCACCACCACCACCACCAAAUAAAAGCAUUUACUUCCAUCAUUCUGGUUUCACCCAGCCAUCAUCACCAUGAACAUCACACACAUAAAACACCAACAACAACAACUUGUUAAACCCAUAACGAUUUGUUCAAAACACAUUUGUGUUGUUUUCUAUCUUCAGUUUGUCUUUCUCCUUACAAAAUCUCUUGUGAAUCAUUAAAGAAAAGUUGUUAAAGAUUAAAUGAUUCGUUAAAGGUCAAAGAUUAAAAGAUUUCUUGCGUGUGUGUUUCUUGCAAUAAUUUGAAGUAAUAAAGAAAAGCUAUUAAAGAUUAAAGAUUUGUUUUCUAUUUUUGAAACAUUAAUCAAGUCUGCUAAUUUGAGCAAAGUCCAAGAUCUGGAAAUGGAAGAUGAAUACACUGUGAUGGGUCAAGAUCCUCUCCAUUUAUAAAUUUUUCCAUUUGUUGCAAUUUGGAGAGAGAUAGACACAAAAAAUAAGUGAUGGGUCCUAUCACUAAGUGGGUCCCACCAUCAUUAAUUAUUUUUUACUUUUUAUGUGUCUUUAUCUCUCUAAAUAGAACAAAUGGAAAAAUUUAUAAAUGGAGAUGAUAUUGACCCCACUGUGAUGGUGAGUUGCUGGUUGUGGUUGGAGGAGAGAGAAUUGUUAGUGAAGAUAAUGUGAAAAAAAUUCAAUGUAGGGAGAACAUGAUAAGAGUGUGCUCUUUAUUUAAUCAAAUGACUAUGAUCAACUUUCCCAUCAUGGGGAACUACUUCCCUUUCCCAUACUAAACCUCACCUGAAAAGAUAGUUUUUGAAACUUUUAAAUUCAAAAAAGUACAUAUAAAGCCAUAUUUUAAAAAAGUAUAUAUAUCUGGCAAUUUUUUAUUAUUAUGUAGGGAAAAGUUUUUUAGAUAAAGGCUAUGUUUGAUAAAAAAAUCAACAGAUAUUAGAUGAAUUUAUAGCUGAUAACAAAUAUACUAAAUGAAAUGUUUGGAGAAAUUUUGGUUUAAUUAGCCGUUAAAUAUGAAAUAAAAUAACAUGUAUCUUUAAUCUUUUUUUUUUUAACAAAUCAAAAUGAGAUUUCAUAAUAAACACGGUGAUAUAUCCUGCACAAGGCAUGCAAAAGGAUGACCACCAGCAAAUAUUUACAAAGCCACAUGUCCUUAUUGAAAAAGCAGCAGCAGAAAACAGUAAAUAAAUUACAGCAAAACUCCCAUACAGAGUAACAAAUGUUGCCACUAAUCAGUAUAGCUAUAACAGAAGGAUGUCUGCUUUGAUUUUAACCAAAGUAACAAAUUUAGUUUAACUUUUUCGAUAAGGGUAACAGAAGUAGAGGCCGUGUUUUGGAAUAUACGGGUGUUCCUUUCCUUCCAAAUUACCCAAACCGUAGCAAAUCAAAUUAUCUCAUAAAUAAAUGAGAAGUUCUAGGCAUGCCCGCCAUCACAAUAAAAUGCAUAAAAUGAUGUCGAAGAUCAACGAGAGUAAUGAAAGAGAUACUUAACCAGUUCCAAACUUUGGAACAAAGCUCACAUAAAGUGUCACAUCUAAGAAACAAAUGUGAUGUUGUUUCGGAACUAUCACACCCAGCCUCUCCACACUUGAUAUCAUUAGCAUGAAGAACACCCCGCCGCACUAAAUUAUCUUUCGCCGGAAGUCUAUUGCGAAGGAGUCGCCAAGCCAAGAGAGACACCUUUGAAGGGAUAUGUUUAUGCCAUACGUCAUCCACAAGAGUCCUAUCCACCAUGUCACCUGAAUGAGUAACAAACCGGUAGGCUUCCCACACUGAAUAACCAUGAAUAUGAUCUAAAAACCACCUCCAAGUGUCGCUGACAUUAUCCUGCAAAACAAUGUUAUGUAAUAGAAUAGAGCAUUCCCUCACACUUUCCUCCUCCCAAGCUAACAGACGGUGUCUCCACACCCACGCCCCUCCACCUUCCAUCCACCCUAGAGUCGACAUCUCCUCCACCGAGCACUCCUUAAAAACUGCCAAAUCAAAUAAGCGGGGGAAUUUUAAUUUCAAAGGUACUUCCCCCACCCAAUAAUCAUACCAAAACAAAGUAGUCCUCCCAUUACCCACCACCCGCCGAAUAUUAUCCUCUAACCACCUUCCCACACCCUCCCUACUCCCUCAUAAGCUCUAGUAAUCGUCCGCCACCAAUACGAACCAUGCCUACCCCAUCCUNNNNNCCGAUCUCCCCAUCUCACAGUAUGUAUAAUGAAAUUGUUAACAAUUACUAGUGAUGAUUAAGAUAUUUCAAAGGUAGUAAUCUAUUUUUUUUUAAAUAUAUAAUUUCUAGAAUAUGUAUUUUUUUAAAGGUUGUGCCUAGAUUAAAUAAUAAGGGUCACUAAAUGGGCUAGUUUAAGAAAUCUUUGUAUGGAUUUUCUUAUAAAUGCACGGUGGGAUUAAAUUAAACCCAUUAUAUUAGCUGGUCUUUGGUUAGAUAUCUGAUUUAAGUAACAAAACAAAUUAAAGUUUUUCAUUAAAAAAAAAAUUAAAGUUUUAUUAAAUGUAGCAAAAUAACGCUUUGGCCCAAUUUUUUGAGCUCUUAUUUUAUUCUCUUUUGUUACUUACUUCGUUUUCCAAUAAAUGACCAAAUUGUAAUUAUUUUUUUUUGAAAAUGAAUAACUUAUCUCACUUUUUAAUGUAAUAUUUUUUCAACUUCACACUCUAAUCGGUAGUGUUAAUUAUACCACUUUGAAUCUUUUGGUUAUAAUAUUACUUUGAAUUUGAUAUCUCUCACUUUUCAUGUAUGAUGGAUUUUAUUGAAAGAAGUGUACCAAUAUUUGACAAGGGUAUUUAAAACUAUUUAUUUUUGUGCGAAUUGAUUAAAUCGAUAGAAAGGAGUAAAGUUGAAAAUAAUUUUUUUUGAUUAAAAUCGGUAGAAACAAGAAAGGAGUACUAGUACAUACAUUGAAAAGAGAUAAUUUUUUUUGGGUUCACGCUACAAAUAAUAAUAAGUACAUAGCAUCAUCAUUAAUUUGAAGACAAAACGGUAGAAUCUAGAGUGAGCGUGACACUCUAUCUUGCUGCUGCACAUUUUACAAUGGCUCAAAACAGAGAAAAAAUCAAGAGAAAACAACCUGAACCGGUUGAUGAUGAUGAUGAUGAUGAUCAAGAAGAAAAUUGGUGCUUUGAAUGCAAAGAUGGUGGACAACUUGUUAUCUGUGAUCAUGAGUAACUCAUUUUCUUUCUCCAUCUUUUUAUUUUUUAUUUCUCAUUUGAUGAUCAUAAUCUCUACGUUGUUGUAUUUAUUUAUUUCAGGAACUGUGGAAAAGCUUAUCAUUCUGAUUGUGUUGGAAAGGAUGAUUCCUUUUUUGAUACUGUAGAAUCUUGGGUUUGUGGUAAGCCUUUUCAUAUUUUUGGAUUUAUUAUUAAUAUUUUAUUUACUCAUGCAAACUUGAAAGUUGAAACAAAACAUUACUACUUUUUAACAUUAUAUUAUGGUACUAUUUGUCACAUGUUUUUAUGUUUUUAAUUUUUCUCUCUCUAUAUUAUGUAUGUAUCUGAUAUAUGAAAAUGUUUAUUUAUGAGGUUAACUGGUAGAGAUCAAAAGUAAUGUUUUGCAUGCAUUUGUAUUUUCAGGUAGGCAUUGUUGCUACAACUGCAGUAAACGCUCCAAGUUUUGUUGCCUUGGUUGUCCAAAUGCUGUAUGCAAAAAGUGUGUUUCUACUUCAGAAUUUACUCUAGUUAGAGGUGUUCAAGGACUGUGCUGUGACUGCUUAGAGAUAGUAAAGAUUAUAGAACUAAAGUUGGACCAUGAUUCUGAGGGGGUAGGUGUGAUAAUAACUUUGAUUUUAGAAUAUUUACCAAAUUUGUUCUUAUUGAUUGUUUAAUCCAUAAUUGUUUUAGGACUUUUAAAACAUCCUUUGUGCACUUUCAACAUUUUUUCUUUUUCAAGAUCAUGAAAAUAAUUUUUUGUUGCUUUUGUUGGUUUUUACAUACUUUUUGAAGCGAAUGUUUGUAACGUGGUGGUUAUGUUAGUUUCACCUCCUUUUUUUUUUUAAAACUCAUUUUACGUCACUUAGCUCACCGCCCGAGCUACCUACAUAGGACACUAGUAUUUACAUAUUGAUUUUGAAACAUGUACUUUUCAGUAAUUUCAUCUCAUAACCGUGUUCAUGUAAAUAUGCAAUUUUAUCUGAAUAUUUUGGAUUCUAGAUGGUGAAAGGUUAGACUAUUUUUAAAACAAAAGAAGUGUUUGUUCAUAUCUUUCUGCUACGAUUAGAACCAAAAUUGUCAAGUUCAUAUGUUUUUUUGGUUGAAACAACGAAACUGAUAUAAUCAAAUUGGUAUUGGUUGUACUAGUAAGUGUCAUAUUAGUCCUACAAAACCGGCUUGUAAGGUUGGAAUUGUCCACUUAUAAACACAUUUUAUGUUCACAUCUCAUCCAAUGAGGGGACUUUAUACGAUAUUCGACUUAUAUUUAAGGAAAUUUGUCCCUUCUACGCAGAACAAAAUAACCUUGGAUGACAGAGAAACAUAUGAAUGUCUAUUCAAGGAAUACUGGGGCAUUGUUAAGGAAAGAGAAGGGCUCACUGACGACGAUGUCUCAGCUGCACUGCCCAACUAUCGAAAGGGUAAAGAUCUCGAGCUUCAUAAAAUUCACUGUGAAGGUGAAGAAGAGAAACAAAAUGAUACCAACAAUAUUGAAGAAUAUACAGGUGUGCAUAAGCUGAAGAAACAGAAUCGGUAUAGUUCAAUGGAAUUUGUCGGAUGGGCAUCAAGACCUCUAUCUAGCUUCCUUGCAUCCAUAGGGAGAUACAAAACCGAACCAAUGAUGCAAUGGGGAAUAAGAUCUCUCAUAUAUGAAUACAUUAAGGAGAAAAAUCUUUACCAUCCCAAAGACAAGAGGAAAUUCCUCCCUGAUGACAAGUUGUUUCCUAUAUUUAAAAAGAAAGCUGUGUUGAAGUCUCAGAUAUAUUCUCUACUCGAGUUUCACAUUGCGAAAAAUUCAGAUGAUUCAUCUAGAAAGGAAAAUCACGAUGAAAAAAAAAAUUGUUCGGCAGACAAGGAUAUCGAUGAUCAGACAUGUCUGGAAAGCCGGUUGUCCAACUUGGAUGUUUUGCAUCCAUUAAAACCUGGAUGUUUUGCAUCCAUUAAUGCCAAUAAUAUCAAGCUUAUCUACCUAAAACAAAGCUUGGUGAUCGAGUUAUCGAAACAACCUGAAAGCUUUGCGAGUAGGGUGGUUGGAACUUUUGUUAGAGCCAGAGUAGAUUCCAAUGAUCAUAAGCUAAGGAAUUCAUACCAUCUUGUGAGAGUCAUAGGUAUAAUAAAUUGCAUAUAGAUCUUGCUAGCUUUUUAACGCUACUUUAUAUUUCUCAAUAUUUGGUUCUAUGUAUGUACUUUAAAUGAUUGAUCAUUUCUCUUGUUUAACUUUUAGGUGUUCAACAUGAUCAAAUGUCUAAUGGAAUACUCUUGCAAGUUUCCUUCAUGCCUAAAGCUAUUUCCAUCUCUGAGCUCUCCGAUGAAGAUUUCACAGAGGUACGUGUAAAUAAUUUGCAGUGAAAAUAUUAUUAUCCUGGAAUACGUAUUAAUUGUGUUGUUUUACUUACAGCAAGAUUGUGAGGAUUUACGGAAAAAAGUGAAAACUGGAUUGCUCCCAAAAUUAACUGUUGUAAGUUGUAUGAUACAUAUGGUGAAUUUCUUUUUUCUCAAAUAUAUAGCGGAUGAUUUUAACUUCUUUUUUCCCUGCUGGCAUUGGAAGGAGGAUCUUCAAGAGAAGGCUACAAGUCUUCACGAGGAUAUAACGAAACAUGUAUUCAUUCUUGACUCUAUGCAUGUUAAUAUCUAUCUUAUUUUUUCCACUGAUGUUCAAAUUUUUCUGAUCUAUAACAAGUUUAAGUUAGAUGUAUGUUUUGGAUUCUAGCAAUUGAAUACUCAGAUUUCAUAAAACCAAAUUCUGUAGCCAAUCCUUUUAUUAGAAUAACAAUUAUAGUCAAUCACAAUUCUCUAGUGAGUAAAAAAAAAUAGCCUUAGACAUAUAGUAAAAUUCAUUACUUAGCUUUAUUUCAGUUGAACACAAGCUUUAUCUUCAGAAAUCUUACAUACGAUACACAUUCGUGUUCUUACAUGUAAUCUGUGAUUAUUUUUGGUUCUGUGAUUACCACUUUAUGAAUUUGUUAAUCUAUCUCAUUUUCUGAUAUUUCCUUGCUUUAUGAAUAUGUUCCUGCUAGUGGAUUGCGACACGCCUAGCUUACUUGCAGAUUCAAAUCGAGCGUGUAAAUAAAGAAUAUCCUUCUUGUAUCAUAUAGAAAUGAUAAAAUGAAUUCUUAGUAUCAUAUGACUUUAGCAUUGUACACAUUUCCCGCAACAAAUUAUGUCUUUGUCCGCGACCCAUACACGUGCAUAGUAAAACGUACAUGAAUCUGGUUCACGUUUAGAUUAAAUACACAUUUUUCUUCUUCUUAAGUCUGAACUAGUAUAUUGUAGUGCCUCCUUGACUGUUUGUGUUGUACAAAAAUUGCAUUACUAAAUGAAAGGGAAGAGCUUGAGCAACCACAGAAACUAAAACAGUUGUUAAGGCGUGUACCAUCAGUUUCCCCCGAGCUUAUGGAGGUAAUGCAUAAUGAUUCUGAUGAAGAAAGUGGGGAAACAGAUAGCCAGGACCAUGACUCGGAUGAGGUAAGUGUAUUAUUUAAUUGAAGAUGGUAUAGAUUGUAGAACAAAAUUUGGACCAUGACUUGGAUGGGAUUUAGGGUUUAGUGUAUUUACUUGGAUUGUAGAAUAUUUACCAAAUUUUUUCUUAGAGAUAAUGUUAAAUCCAUAAUUGUUUUAUGACUUGUUUUAUGCUCUUGCUGAACUUGAAAACUUUUUUUUUUUUUUACUUCAAAGGAGCAUAAAAACAAUUGAUUUUUUUCUUCACUUUAUUGGUAUUUACAUGUUUAAAAUCAAUUGAUUUUGAAACAUGUACUUUUCAGUAAUUUUAUCUUAAAAUCAUGCUCAUGCAGAUAUGCAAUUUUAUCCAAACAAAAAAUAUCAUUUUGAAUAAUCAUUUGUCCUUUAUUGUCUUUUGUUAACCAAUAAACUUUGUAUGUUCUUUAAGGAAUUUGAGGAAAAUGUUGAGGUGAGAAAAGGACUAACUGAAGAUGAUGUCUCUGCUGCACUUCCCAGCAAAAUAAAGGGUAAAGAUUUUGAGCGUCAUACAAGUCGCAGCGAAGGCGAAGAAGAAAAACAAAAUGACUCCAAUGGAAAUGAAGGUUAUUCAGGUAUGCAUAAGCCGAACAAACGGAAGCGCUAUAGUUCAGGGGAAUUCGUUGGAUGGGCAUCAGGACCUCUCUCUAGUUUCCUGGCAUCCAUAGGGAGAUAUGAAACCGAACCAAUGAUGCGAAGGGAUGUAAAAUCUCUCAUGUUUGAAUACAUUACAGAGAAAAAUCUUUAUCAUCAUAAAGACAAGAAAAAAUUCUUCCCUGACGAUAAGUUGUUUCCAAUCUUUAAAAAGAAAGUCAUGUCAAAGUACAAGAUAUAUCCCCUACUCAAGUUUCAUAUUGCGGAAAGAUCUGUUGAUUCGGCUGGAAAGGAAAAUCACGACCAAAACAAAAAUUGUUCGACAGACAACAAGCAUAUCGAUGAUGAAACAUGUAGAAGAUUGUCAAGCUUAAUAGAAAAACCUCUGUUGAAAAAAGGUGAUACGUGUAUAAAACCUGGAUGUUUUGCAUCGAUUAAUGCCAAAAAUAUCAAGCUUAUCUACCUAAAGCGAAGCUUGGUAUUCGAGUUAUCGAAACAGCCUGAAAGCUUUGCGAGUAGGGUGAUUGGAACUUUUGUUAGAGCCAGAGUAGAUUCCAAUGAUCAUAAGCUAAGGAAUUCAUACCAUCUUGUGAGAGUCAUAGGUAUAAUAAAUUGCAUAUAGAUCUUGCUAGCUUUUUAACGCUACUUUAUAUUUCUCAAUAUUUGGUUCUAUGUAUGUACUUUAAAUGAUUGAUCAUUUCUCUUGUUUAACUUUUAGGUGUUCAACAUGAUGAAAUGUCUAAUGGAAUACUCUUGCAAGUUUCCUUCAUGCCUAAAGCUAUUUCCAUUUCUGAGCUCUCUGAUGAUGAUUUCACAGAGGUACAUCUAAAUAAUUUGCAGUGAAACUAUAUUUUCCUGGAAUACAUAUUAAUUGUCUUGUUUUACUGACAGCAAGAAUGCGAGGAUUUGCGGCAAAAAGUGAAUACUGGCUUGUUUCCGAAAAUAACUGUUGUAAGUUGUAUGAUACAUGUAGAAAAAAUGUUUUAGCUUUCGAAGGACGCUUAUCUGAAACAGCAAUUGAAAAUAGUGAAAAUUAGUGUGAUCCAAAAUAACAUUCUUACUACUUAUUCUUGUAGCAGUUUGACAGUAAAACCGUGUCAUUGUUUUAAGUUGUCAUUCGGCGACUAUCGUGACACGUUGAAUUGUUUUUAUUUUAUUUUUACUUAAAUAUAUAGCGGAAAAUUUGAACUACUUUGUUUCCCUGUCUGCAUUGGCAGGUGGAUUUUCAAGAGAAGGCUACAAGUCUUCACGAGGAUAUAACAAAACAUGUAUUCAUUCUUGGCUCUUUACUUGUUCAUAUCUAUCUAUUUUUCCACUAUUGUUCAACAGCUUCUUAUUUAUAACUGACUGCGAUUUAUUUUUGUGGAUUCUAGCAGUACUCAGGUUUCAUAAAGCCACAUACUUUAGCUAUUCUGUACUUAUUUUACUAUCGAUGUUUGUUACUCUUGGCAUUUGUGAUUCUAUCUUAUUUUCUGACAUAUUAUGUGCCUUAUGUCUUCCUGCUAGUGGAUUGCGAAGCGCCUAGUCUAUUUGCAAAUUCAAAUCGAGCGUGCAAGUCUCAGAGGACGAAAUAAAGAAUAUCCUUCUUGUGUCAUAUAGAAAUCAUUAUAUGAAUUAAUAGUAUCAUAUAUAUGACUAUAGUAAAUACUUUAUAAGAAUAAUGAUAUAUAGAGUAUAGACUAUACUAUAGUGCCUCCUUGACCAUUUGUGCAGUACAAAAAUUGCAUUACUAGAUGAAAGGGAAGAGCUUGAACGACCAGAGAAACAAGAACAACUGUUAAGGCGUGUUCCAUCGGUUUCUCCCGAGCAUGUGGAGGUAAAAUAUGAUCAUUCUGAUGAAGACCGUGAUGAAACCGAUAGCUAGGAGCCUAGUAUAGAAGACUAUUCUUCUUGCUUUGAUGGUGUAAAUAGUUUUUCCUCUGUUGGAAGCCAAAACCAUAUCCACUAACAAGUGAUGAUGAAACUGUGUACUUUGCAGUGGUUUGUUUAGACUUGGUUUACAUUUUGGAAUCGUCAAGGCCAUUAGAUAAAUAUUUUCUUUUUAUUUCUUGUUUAUUGUUAUGAAUAAUCACUUUUUUUUUAAAAAAAAAAAAUUUGUUUUUAAAUGUUUAUUACUAAAUAUAGAAAAAUAUUUUCACAAACAAAAGAGCAACCGUUUUAUGUUGGAGCUUAGUCAAAGAUACAUUCGUGCAAAUUAGUAAUUAUCAAGUAUCUCUGUUUGCUUGGCGUCUCCUUCAAGAUAGAAUUCCAACUAAAUCUAAUUUGGUGCGCCGACAUGUUCUCCAACCUAUUGACAAUCUUUGUGUUAUUGGUUGUGGCUCCUCUGAGACGGCGGAUCAUCUCUUUGUUGGAUGUGAUUUGGUUGGGAGUGUUUGGUAUUCAGUUUGUCAGUGGAUUGGUGUUCCUUGUGUGCUUCCCAGUGCGGUAACAGACCAACCAUUUCUUACAGUUUUCUCAUUCGGCGUGCUUACCGCGAUCUACCUAUUCUUAUCUUAGGUUAUUUGGCUAGCUUGUAUUUGGGUAAUCUGGAAGGAGCAAAACAAAUGUGUUUUUAAAAAUGCGGUUAUUGAUCCUUUCAUUAUGGUUGACAAAGUGAAGCUGAAUUCCUUUUUAUGGAUCUCUUCGAGUUUUGUUCCUAUUGCGUUUGGAUUUCGUGAUUGGUGGAGACACCCAUUUCUUUGUAUGGGUGUUAUGUAAUUUUUUUGUUUUUUCCCCUUGGAGGGGGCAUCUUUAUUAGAUGUUUGUGGCUUGUAUCUGACAUUGGGUGGUUCAUCACUUUUAGUACACCUUGUGCGGGUGAAUCAUCUUGCCUUUGAGCAAUUUAUUCUAGGCUUAAUACAUGCUUUGGUCCCUUAAUUUAUUUUUGAAUUUCAUUUUGGUUCCUUAACUUUAAACCGUCUCAAUUUGGUCCCAUAACUUUGCCUCCGUUUAACAGAAGGGACCACUUAGGUAAACGGAGGUAACGUUAUGGGACCAAAUUGAGACAGUUUAAAGUUAAGGGACCAAAAUGAAAUUCAAAAAUAAGUUAAUAUACCUUCCAAUAUAUUUUUUUAUACAUUUGACUCAUUAGAAAAAAAAGUGUUAUAAUAUAAUAUACCAUCCGAUUUUGGGAGAAAGAAGUAGUGAUAAUUUGAAGUUUGAUUAAUAGGUAGGAAAGUCUGAUCAAUAAUUAUUCUACUCAAUAAUUAAAUUUAGAUUCUUGUUAUAUAGAUUUUGGAAUAUAUUUCUUUUGUAUAUCUUAAUUUCAUUAUUAUUUUUAUUAUUAUUAUUAUUAAUGUUAAAUUUUGUUUUGAAUUGAAAUUAUUUUGAUUUAGAUUAAAAUUAUAGGUAUAGAUAUUAAAAAAAUUUAUUAGGCUUAAUACAUACUUUGGUCCCUCAACUUAUUUUUGAAUUUUAUUUUGAUCCCUUAACUUUAAACCGUCUCAAUUUGGUCCCAUAAUUUUACCUCUGUUUACCUAAGUGGUCCCUUCGGUUAGUUUUUUUAACAGAAUGGACAACUUAGGUAAACGGAGGUAAAGUUAUGGGAUCAAAUUGAGACAGUUUAAAGUUAAGGGACCAAAAUGUAAUUCAAAAAUAAGUUAAGGGACCAAAACAUGUAUUAAGCCUUUAUUCUAUUUUGAUUUGUUAAAAAAAAAAAAAAAGUACCUAUCAAGUGCAAAAAUUUUCCUGAUUUAUGUGAAUUCUUUUGAGUUAUGUAGUUUUGGUCUAAGUUUUUUUCCUACCCUAAAGAACCCUCCUCACGAACGCAACCCAAUGCCCGCGUACGAGCACAAAACAUUACAAAAAAAUGUGAAGAGUGGACAACCAUAGGAUCAAAAAAGGUUUUGAAUUGGCGAAUGGAUCGACCGACAACAUGUUAUCCAGAUCCACGUAUUAGCAACCCCCUGAAGCAGCAGGUAUAAUAACUCUUUCGAGCUUAACAGUCCAAUAACAGUCACAAUGACUGAGAUGGAUUAGAGACAGUACCGAAGAAGGUAACCCUGAAGACUUGAGGCCUGCAGAUCUCAACAGACCUGGAACAUGAGAGUCAAGCACAUGAGCACCAAUUCAACCGAUUUCAAAGAACCCAAACAACCCUUUCGGGUUAAAAGAACCACACGCUAUCGGGUUUACGAAUCACCACAAAAAGGCCAAAACUACCACCGCCGCAGUCUCCAAUCUGAAACACAAAACCAAACAGUACAGACAAACAUCAAGCAACCAAAAGCAAAACCUAGAUCAAACGAGCAAACCACCGUCGAUCCAGCCAAAACAGACAAACGGUGACAGCGCUGCUACCCAUCUCACCACUGCAAAAUCCAGUUUUGGUCUAAGUUCAAUGUUUUAGAAAUUGGGAUAUGCAUAAGUAUGUUAGUAGUUCAUUAAUCAAUUAUAGUAUAUAUAACCUUUGAAGGCAUGAUCAUAGAAAAGCAUAUGCAAAUAAAAGUCAACCUUUGUUAUGAUGGUUUGACCUAGCUAGUAGUAUUGCAUUUUGCCUAUCCAAAACAAAAACAAAAAUGUAUGUAUUGCAUUGCAAGCAUCACUUUCAUUUGUAUGACUAUGACAUAUUAAUAUGCUGACACACUCUAAAACGUGGCUACUUGAGAUUGGGUGAGAUUAAGAGAGAAAAAAGAAAAGGAUAUUAGAAAAAACAAAGGCAAAGAGAAGUAUAUAAUGAAAUGAAUAUCAUCAAUACGAUAAACAUUUGGUUGUUUAUGUUUAUAAAGAAAAUUGACCUUUUGCCUUUGUUUUUGAGGUUUAAUAUUCGAACAGUUUAAAUUUUACAAUUAAUAGGACACUAUAAAAAUACACAUAAAAUAAAUGUUAUUUUAAAAUAUCGGUCGUUCGUAAAUCAUUUGUAGGAUAAUCUUUCAUCGUAAAUAGCAAUAUCAUUUCAAUAAAUGAUUAACAAAAAUAGAAAAUUUGAGAUGUUUCUUUCUUUUUUCCACUAAAAUCCAUUCACUAUUUUCAUAUUGAAUUGACAAACAAACAAAUGUUUUUGAGAGAAAAUAAGUGUUGACUCAAGAUUCAUAUAAAUAUUUUGAGAUUUUUAAUAUAGAGGUAGUGUCAAGUUCUCUUAUUAGAUAGUUUAAUGUGAUGAUAGCUUCCAACUCUUUUAAUGUCCCAACAAUGAUAGGAGAGUCGAUAGUUACUAAAGAGAUCGACUCUAUUUGAUGAAAGUCUUUACGAAAAUAGUGACAUCCUGUUUGAAGGGGAUUAAUCCUCAGACUCUCCUCAUGACACAAACGGUACCAUAAAAUAUGUAUAUUGUAUAAUCCAUGGGUCAGCGGAAAACCAUUAAAGAUUGAACAAGAUUCUAGCAUUUGACGAGGAUAAAUGUAAUGGAAAGUUGCGGCAAGAACAGUGUAGUAAUUGAGACAUGAAUCAGUCCAUUUUUCUUCCAUGGCGCAUACUUCUUUUGACUCUAUACUCAAAUUAUCAUUACUUUAUGUUUUCAAGAGAAGCAACCUAGAAGGUCAGUUGAAGUCCACAAAGCAAUGCUAGUACUUUUGUGACAAAACGUUUUAAAAAUUAUGGGAGCAGUAUCUUAAGGUGGGCCAUUUCCAUAUAAUAUGAAUCUUGUGAUCACCAUUAUAUUAAAUUUUCAACUGUGCGUUUGUGCGUGCUUUGGACUUGUAAAAAAUGAAUACUAUUGAUAAAUUACAUAAUGAUUGUCAAGAUUUUUACACUAUUGAUAAAUUACAAUUAAUGAUAUGUGUGACUUUAAAAAUAAUUACAAUUAAAGUCGAAAUAUUUUUAAUAAUUUAACGAUUAUGAUUGAUCGACAUAAUUUAAUGGUUCAAAAAUAAUUACAUUGAUGAUGUAUAUGUAUUAAAUCCGAUAAAAAAUUGAAAACCCCACAAAAAUAAAAUAGUAUCAUUGUCUCAUAAUAUUUUUGUUUUGAUAUGAAAAGCGAACUGUUUAUUGGACCACAUGAUCUAUAUAUAUUCACCACUAUAGUACGUAAGUAAUAAAGAAGCAGAAACUACAUGGAAAGAGCUUGAUCCACCAAAUUUGUACAAAGAGAAGUAGAAACACAUCAUUGUGUAGUGGAAACUAUGGCAAAAAACCCUUGUUGUGAAAGGAUGGGAAUGAGGAAAGGACCAUGGAGUGCUGAAGAAGAUCAAAUAUUGAUUUCUCAUAUUCAAACAUAUGGUCAUGGAAAUUGGCGUGCUCUUCCUAAACAAGCCGGUGAGCACGAAUUAACAUUCUUAGCUAAUGUAUGUUAAAUUAUAUGGAAUGGUUCUUUAGGUUUGUUAAUGUAUAUGAUAUGAUUGUUUAGGUUUGUUAAGGUGUGGUAAGAGUUGUAGACUUCGUUGGAUAAACUACUUGAGACCAGAUAUCAAACGAGGUAAAUUUAGCAAAGAAGAAGAAGAUUCAAUCCUAAAGCUACAUGAAGUUCUUGGUAAUAAGUGAGUAGAUGUUAUAGACUCUAUUAUCUUUUCCAAUUCCGUACUUGUCUUUUGUAUGUAUUUUUAGCAUUAACGGCAGGUUUGACAAAAUUAUUGUAGCACUUGUUUGAAUUUCAAAGUGAUUCUUUUUUAAAAUCACACUAGCACACCGUGAUUGUGAUUAAUUAUGCAAAAUUGACUGUUUUGGCUUCUAAAUGGUAUUUUAUACCGAAGAAUUUAGAACUAGUUAUAGAGAUAUAUAAGUUCUACAUCUUUUUUUGGACUAAAUAUCAUAUAUCUACAUGUAGCAUACCAUAAAAUGUGAUUGAUCAAUUUAGUCCUCUAAUUGAUACAAGAUGAAAAUUAAUUUAUUAGCGAUCCUUUAUGCUCAGAUGGUCUGCAAUUGCAGCAAGAUUACCAGGACGAACAGAUAAUGAAGUGAAGAACUUUUGGCAUACACAUUUGAAGAAAAAGGUGCAAAAAAGUGAAGUGUACAAUGUCAAUACCUCUUAUUCAUAUACUUUGGAUGAGGCACAAGCAAGUGAUGGUUAUAGUAGUGUCGGUGAAAAAAGAGUUAUUUCCAAUUAUGGUUUAGUCUCAAGCAAGGAUCCAAACACUGUAGGGUCAGGAUUUUACAAUGCAACCUCUUGUGAUACUUUAGGAGAAAAUAUGGACCAUCAUGGUUCAAGUCAGAUUAGUGAAGAAAUUGAAUUUUGGUACGAUGUAUUCAUUAAAUCAGGUCAACCAUCAUGAGGAAGUGGAAAUUUAGGAGAUUUCUAUUUCUCUUUAUAUAAGUUAAUUAUUCUUGGUUUCAGGUUUGUGUACAGAAUUUGAGAUCCAUUUUGGUGGUGCGAAUUGGCAUAAUAAAAAUAAAGGUGAAUCAUUCGGUAUAUUUUUCGGUCAAUUUAUUAAGGAUGGCAUUUUUUUUCAGUCGGCAAUUUUUAGGUGGCAUUUCAUGUGGGAAAGGUUAAUCCUUUCCCACCAUGGAAAAGUUGGAUUCAAUGAUUAGAUUAAGUGAAGAACAUAUUCUUAACAUGCUCUCUCAACACUAGAUUUUUCUUCACACUAUCUUCCAACAAUUUAAAAAUUCUGAAAAUUAAUUUUCAGAAAUUAAAAAAAUCGAAAAAAUAUAAAAAAAUUCAGAUAAUUUUUUUUUUAAAUUCUGUAAUUUAUUUAUUGGAUGUUAGUUUUUUUUUUUUUUGAAAAAAUGAAAAAAAAAUUGUUCAGAAUUUUAUUUCAAAAUAUUUUCAAAAACCUUAUUUUCCAGAAUUUUAUUUUCUUAGAAAAAUAAAAAACUUUAAUUUCAAUUUUUUUUUUAGGAUUUUUAUUUUAUUUUUCGUAAUAUCUUAUUUUAUUAUGAAAUUAAAAAAAUAUCUUCUUUUUAGAAAAAUAAAAACUUAUCUUAGUUUCCAAAAUUUUAAUUUUAUUGAAAUAAAUAUGUUUUUUCAAAAAAAAAAAAUUCUAACAUUCAAUAAAUGAAUUACAAAAUUUUUUUAAAAAAUUAUCUGAAUUUUUUUAUAUUUUUUUAAUUUCUGAAAAUUAAUUUUCAGAAUUUUUAAAUUGUUGGAAAAUAGUGUGAAGAAAAAUCUAGUGUUGAGAGAGCAUGUUAAGAAUAUGUUCUUCACUUAAUCUAAUCAUUGAAUCCAACUUUCCCAUGGUGGGAAAGGAUUAAGCUUUCCCAUGUGAACACACACCCAAUUUUUAUGGUACUCUCAAAUGUUUAACCAAUAGAAUAGUGUCAUUUCAAUUAAAUGAUCCAUGUUAACAUUAUUAAAGAUUGACUUGAGGGAAAGAGUUUUUGUACACUUUUCUAUUCAAUUUAACCCCCAAAAAUUGUACAAAUUACUAUUUCAUAUUUCAGAAAAUUAAUUAAUUAAUUUUUUAAUCAAAACAAAACCAAAUCAUUAAUUGUCAUCGCAAUUUUCUCUCCAACAUUCAUCUUCUCAAACGUAACCUUCUCUUUUUCUUUCCGGGAACAAAAACAUAAUCUAUAUACUGUUCCUUCAUUUCUUUCUCACCAUUAAUUUUGCUUACUGAAUUUUAAUUGAAAAAAUUGAUGAUGGCUUUCUUAUACGUGACCUUUUUUCUUGUAUUUUACUGGUACAAUUUUAUGUUUUUUCUUAUACUUGACAUUUGAAAUGUUGUUUCAUAAACAUAAUCCAUAAUCCUUUGCUAAAGAUGUCAUCUUUCUUAUCAAUCCAAUUACCUACCUAUUACUUCUAAUUAGCUAUCAAUCUAUCUUGUUUUGUGUUGUUUUUCUUGAUGUUCCCCUUUUUUGUAGUGUGGUGAGUGUUUUUGAUAGCUAUCCCCUUUUUUGCUAUAAAAAAUAGCAGUAAAGUUUAAUUAAAGUCUGUCAAAUUAGUUCUUGUAGUUUCCCACGUAUAAGCAAGGGUUGUAGCGAAAGAGAUGAAGAAGAAGAACUGCCAUGAAGAAGAAGAAGUAACGAUUUAAAUUUGUUUUCUGUUAAAUCAAAGUAAAAUUAAUUAUAUCAUAAAAUAAAAGCUCCAAAGUGUAAAACUCAUAGGUUUGGUGGUGCUAAUUCUAUAAUUCAGUCAAACUUAUUUGUUCCAUGUUGUCAAAAAACUAUUGGCCAUUUUAGUUUGGAGUAUUGUUACAUACAAAUAUAUGGGUGUACGGUAGAAGGAGCCUUUUUAGUCAGGAUCAGUUUAAGAAUAAGACCACUAAAGCUAUCGUUUUAAGCCCACCAAAUACCAACAAAAAUAUAAUUUUCAUUAGAUUUUUUAAGAAUUUUUUUUCAUGUUCCAACAAAAAAGACCUCAUAUAUUCAAUUUUGUUUUAGGUCUCAUUUACUAUUAAAAAUUAUUGGGUCGACACUACUGUCAAUUUAUUAAUGUAAAGUAUUAAAUCAACUCAUUAAAAAACACAAUAUUGAUAUAUUAAGGUGCUUUUUGAUAUAUGGAUAAUUGUUGAAAUUGUUUUUUCUUGAGAAUAAUGCGUGUAAAUUUGUGUUUAGAAAAUGUUUUCUAAAAUCAUGCAUGCCCUUUCAUUCUGACAUAAUCACGUUUUUGGGUAUAAAUGAUGCCAAGGGAAACAAAACAUAACAUAACAGACAAUGAAAGAAUCAAGGAAAGAAAACAAAAGCUUAAACUAGCUAAAGGAUAAAUGGACCCGCAUGGCAUCACUCAAAAGAAAGCUUCUAGUAUUUAUUUUGUACUAUAAAAUUCAAUAUUGACUGAUUAAUUUGGAGAGGAUGAACCAUAUUGUUUACUGCCGGGAAGCUCAAUUGAAGAUAGAGCAAACACCUUAUAGACUAGUCUAACAUAUAAAUUGCUAGCAUCGAAACGAUUCGAACCUGAGAUAUUAAGAGAUCAGAUUCUCAUGUCCCAAGCCUGCAUCAAUAUAUCAAAUAGGUUUAAAUGAAAGUUCAGUUUUGAUUCUCGUUUCUCCUUCUCUAGAUCACAAGGAUUAUCAUACUUGGUGCGAGUUCAAUGCACUUCACGUUAAUUUAAAAAACAAGGACAAUUUGUAGCCAGAAAUCUUCAAUUUCUUAUCACAACUUCAUGGUUUUAGCGUAGACUCAUCGUUCUAUCUCAUAAAUUUUAAUUGAUAAAAUAUAUAUUUUUAAAAAUUAUGUAUUAAAAAAUAUAUCGUCAGCGCUCUAAUCCAUUUAAUUUGUAAUGUGAUAUAUUUUGAAAACUUUGACUAAAAAAUAUAAUAUAUAUAAAAUUGAGGGAUGAAACUAAAAGUCAAUGCAAAAAACGGACACCAAAAAUAAUUGUUGCAAAUACUACUAAUCAAAUAAAAACCGAAAACAAAGCUGAAAUAUUUUAGAUUGAUAAAAAACGUUCACGAUGGGACUCGAACCCACAAUCUCCCGCUCCGGAGGCGAGCGCCUUAUCCAUUAGGCCACGCGAACAUCUGUUGUCAUAUUUUCGUCCUUUACGUAUUUAACCUCUACUCAUCAAUUUCCACAGUUUUAGGUUUUUACUGUUUUUAGACAAACAAAAUGUGAAUGGUCGUUAAAAAUUCAAACACAAAUACGCAAAAGAGCCCAUAUUUAUGGAUAAUUUAGUCAUUUUUAUCUUUUGAAUACAAUAUUAGUCAUAGAUGAUUGAAGACGAAACAUGUCAUUUUCACCUUUGAUUAUCACAUAUAGCGGUUCAAUUUUAUUUUGUGCUUGGGAGGAGCAAUAUAAUUUCAAUUUUUUUGGUUUCUUGGAAACUUUUUUUCCCUUCUAUAUGUUCGAAUUGGUACUUUUCCUUCUAGUACUCCUUGUACAAAGAAGGUAAAGUUGAUUGUUUAAUUUAAUAUAAUUUUAGCAUUUAAACAAAAUCUAUUUAUUUACAAAUUUCAAAAGUGUACCGUAAAUACUAGACAUUUACAAUUUAAAGGAACAAACCGACAAUAUACUCAAUGUAUAGGGCAAUACCGAGGCGGUGUCUAGGGUGGGAGACCUUAAUAGGUCUCCUACGGUGCAUAACCUCUUUUUUUUUUUUUUUUUUGGAGCAAAAUAACCUUUUAGAACUGCUAGAUUGAUCAAGCUCAUUAGAUCAUACUAUAAACCAACCACACUUGAUUAUUUCCUUUUUGUCUUAUUCUCCCACGGCUAAGCUUCCAAUCCUUUCCCUCUUCAAUCUCAUUCCCCUGCACUUUUUUCUUUCUUUCUUUUACAAUAGCAAGCUUUCAACACUAUUAUGUGCAGAUUUCUCAAUCAUGUAGAAACCUAUUUGUUCAUUCACCACUCUAUGUUCCUAUAUUCAAAUAAUUGUUUAUAUGUCUCAAUAAAUUAAUCCUCAAAUUUUGCAUGAACUUAAAAAGAAUGGUUUCAAAUUUUCAUAUCUAUUGAGAAAAUAAAUUCAGAGAAACCCAUUAAAUAAUAAGAUUGACACUUUACUAAUCAUUAAAGGUAAAAGAACAAAUCGUUGAUGUAUAUUGAGGAAUAAAUGAAACAGGAUUCACACUUUUCAUAACAUUCAAAUGAAAAGAUUACAUAUGCAACAAAGAACACAACCCAUACAAAUUACAACAAAAAAUCAAAAUUUUCAACCAUUAAAGGGUUCAUUCUUCUUCUCACACUUUAUGGUACAAACUUUCGCUGUUAGGAGCGACCCUCUCCGCACCUCUUUGAGUUUCUAUCAUCCAACACGAGGAUAUCGAAAUGGUUAUGGGUUUAUUUGGUUCAUCAGUAUAACUUGUUUUCCUUUUAUCUCUAUGGACCUUAAACUUGUCACUGCACCAUCAAUGAUGCAAGCUCCUUUGUUGUUGGUUCUGCAUAUCUGAGUUGUUUGAGAGAAAAAGAAAGAACACGAAAGUGUUAUGGGAGAGAGAAAAUGAUAAUGAAAAAAAAGAAAGUAUUAGGUGUAGACACACAUAUAAUAAGAUUCAUAGGGAAUCAUAAUCCAACGGCUAAUAGAAGUUUCACUAAUUUCUUUCACAAAUAAAAAGUUUCACUAGCUUGCUCACGGUAGGAGACCUGUUAAGGUCUCCCACCCUAAACAGGGCCGCAAUACCGAUAUACCCUGAACCCUUUGAAUGUUUAUCCAUUGAAAAAAUAAAAUUGAACUAAAUUAAUUUUAUUAAAUAUAAUAAUAUAAGAAAAUGAAUAAAGAAAAAUGUAUGUUUAAAAUUUUGAGAAUUUACGAAGAAGAAGUGUUUGGUUGGAGUGGGAAAUUGCAGUUCUUUUUUGUGAAGAAGAUAGAUAGAUAGAAGAAGAAGUUAAACCUAAACUCAUUGAAUUGAAUUGAAUUGAAUUGAAUGGCUUUGACAAUCUCAAACAUACUUCAUUGCCCUAAAUUCAACAACAACAAUAAUUCAUCCAACCAUUUCCGUUCCCAAUUUUCAACCUCUCUCAGGUAACACUCACUCCUUCUUCUUCUUCUUCUUCUUCUAAAAAAACACUGCUUUCUUACUGGGUUUUAUUCAAUUUUCAGGUUUCCCAAGAAAACAUCAUGGAUUAACCCAAUAAUUAUCUCUGCUUCUUCUUCUGCAUCUGCUGCAGGAAGCACUAAUCCUAACGAUGACUUCAAUCCUUAUGAGGUAGCUACUCAAUAUUCAUUAUCUUAUCUUAUAAAAUUCUUUAUUAUUGUUCUUAUUAUUAUUAUUAUUAUAUAGAUUUUAGGUGUAAGCCCUAUUGAGAAAUUUGACACGAUCAAAGCAGCAUAUACUAAGAAAAGGAAGGAAGCUGAGAUUAAGGGUGAUGAACAAACUGCUUCCAGAGUAUGUUAACUAACUGACUCUUCUCUAAAAAAAUUAUUUUGGAAACUGCCAGUGUUAUUUUUUAUUUUACGAACAAACUAUCACUUUAAUCCCUAAACUAUAUAAAUAGUCGGUCCUUAAAGUAUAUCAAAUCGGUCAAUUUAGUCUCUAACAUCUUAAUAGCAAGGAUUAGAUUGAUGGAUUUUAUUUACCUUAGAGACUACUUAUUAUAUUUACAUAGUUUAGGGACUAAAUUGAAGAAGAGAUAGUCAUAGUUUAGGGACUAACUUGAUGGUUUAUUUAUUCUUAUUGUAUGAGAUGUGUAACUUGAUGAUGAUAUAUGAAUAUUAUUACCAUCAUGUACAAGAGACAAAAACAAAACCACAAAGGGUAGAAUUACAAAUUAUUUUUCGCUCGAUGAAUAUUAUCCUCUAUUUUGAAUUGCAUACUCUCUAGACCAAAUUAAGUGACUUUCUACAAAUGUGUCCCAUACUGCUUUUAAUUAUUUCGUUUUUUAUGAGGUUGUUAGUAAUCCAUAUUGUUAUAUGUUUUUCUUAAAUUUAAUGUACUAACACAUGGGAUCUUGUGUAUUGUGAAUGCAUGAUCCAGCUUGAAAAGGCAUAUGACAAAGUUAUGAUGGCUCAAUUGAGUAAUCGGAAAAAGGGUGUGACUUUUGGAUCUUUUAAGGUAAACUAGGGGAGUCUUUCUUUUUCGUGAGCAUUUGAAAUUGCACACAGAACAUGAGGGCACAGAGAUGCUUCUUGUUUAGUUUGUUUUGGAGAUUGAAGCUGCUUUGUUAAUUUAAUUCUGUAUGUAUUCUACAUUCAUUGGACUUCCUUUGAUGAAGCAGCAAUAAUUUUUACAGAACGUCUCUUUUGACUUUUUUUUUUUUUUUUUUUUUCAGCUCAAAAUGAAUGUAAGCUGCCUAUAAAUUAUGCAUAUGAAGAAUUUCGGACGAAUUAAUGUCUUAUGAUCUUGAAUCCUUAACAGUUAACACUUUUCAUUACGACGAAAUAACUUCCAAAAUUAUGAUUUAUCAUUAUUCUUAGUCAUAGAAUUGUUGUUAUACACAAAGUCUAGCUACAUAGCAUUUUUUGCGUCAAAUUAAUUCACCCACAUCAUCUAUGCUAUAUUGUGUCCUCUUCCUAUAUCCCCACAAUAUUUCACGCUAAUAUUUUGUUUAUUUGCUUCUCAAAACUUUAUCAUAAUUUGCAGGUUUCAAAGGACAUAAAGUAUGCCGACAAGCAGCCAGUUAUACCUUGGGGACCAAGGUUUGUUAUUGCUUGUCAUAGUUCAUGACAUGAUAGUUUUGUUGCUGUAUAUUGUUCUACGUUGCUGCAGUGUGCUUGGGAAUUGUCUCCAUGAAUUGUGUUAAUUAGGAUGUCUUUUAUACAUCCAAUUACUCUUUUAUUACUGCUUAGAGAAGAUCACAGUAUCUCUCCCUUAUGAAAUAGACAUGCCAUGAGUAAUUUGUAUUUAGAUUAAUUUAUUUUCACCUACAGUUUGGUAGGAAAAUCUCAUUUUUCCUGUGUGUUAUGUAUAUCUGACAUUCCUUUCCACUGUCAAGUUAUCAUGUUCUACAUUUUCUUCUAGUUAAAAUUUUUCUUGAUAUCACUAAGCAGUGUCAUUCUAUUAUCAGCCACUUGGGUUGGAUUUUUUGACAUUAUUUGUACUUCGAUGCAAUUUCAGGUUUGCUAAAUCAAGUGAAAAUGAUAUGCGCAUCAACUUGGCAAUAUCUGCUGUUUUUGUGAGUAGUAAAUGAGUGGUUGAUUUUAUUUAAUUAUUUUGGAAUAUGCUAAUGCUCAGAAUUGUCUUUCUGCAGACAGCUUGGAUCGCAGUCACUCAAAGUGCUGAAUAUAAACCUUUGCAGUUUUUAGCCUUUGCUUUCGUUUAUAGGCUUUUUGAGAAGUUAAAAUCCUUUGAAUCUCCAAAAAGCUCCACAAUUAAUGUGAGUUUCAUACUCUAAGACGGCCUAUUCAUUAAAAUCUUUGAAUUUUCUGCUUUUUAACCAUGUUGAAUUAUCAAUAGAAUUGUAUAGUUCAUUAAUCAUGAUAAUGGUUGCUACAGGAAGAUGGUGAAGAUCCAGGAGAAGGACUGCGCAUGGGAAAGAGACUGCUCCGGUCACUGGCCUUGGUUUUUGGAUGUAUAGCUGUUUCAUCCUUGGUAUGAUGAUUCAUCUGAUCUUUUGGUGUGAUUCAAGGAUCACUUCUUUGAUAUCCCAGUUUAUGGGCCUCUGUAAUCUACAAUAAUUAACAUGGAAGCUGAUAUAGUGUAUGUAUGUGUGUGUGAGAUUGUCUUUUUAAACAAACAAAAAAAGGUGGAUCGGUUCGACAGUUCAUCUUGCUUUCACGUUUUACUUUAGUUGAAACCAAAUUAUUUUUCAUCGUGAUGUUCCGCAAAGAUGCAUUUGGAUAAUUUUCUCUUAAUCUUUUUGGAACUAUUAUCUGAAGACAAUUUUUAAAGAAGAAAUUUGUGGUGGCUGAUUUACAGAAAUUAGACUUUUGUACUGUGCUGGACUUCCACUGGGAUUGUAGGACCAAAUUUGUCAAGUUAUUGCAUUUGGGAGAGACUGGACUUCGUAGAUCUACAUCAUCAGAUUAAUGAUGCACAAACUAAUUUAUAUUAUGCAUUUUUAGUUUUUAGUUGAAAAUGUUUUUUCAGUAUGCUAUUCAGUUAUUUUGUUUGUCUCUCAGUAUUCAAUUUAGUCUAAUACGCCUGAAGUUUUGUAUUUUCUUCUUAUCAUGCAUAGAGGAGUGCUAUGGACACUCUCUAACACCCACUCUCUUAUUGGACGAAAUCCAUGUGUUACACUCUCUUUCUAGCACUCUCUCUAACACUCACUCUUAUAUUGGGUGAAAUCCAUGUGGGUACCACACAUUGGAAAUGGAUCCCACAUAAAGUGGUGAGAUCCACAUGGGUUUCACCCAAUAGAAGAGUGAGUGUUAGAGAGAGUGCUUGAAAGAGAGUGUUGCAUUUCUCUCAUACAUAUUAUUGCUCCUCAAAAUUAUUCUCAUACAUAUUAUUGCUCCUCAAAAUUAUUUAUGUUCCGGAUAAAGAUUAAUAGUUUCUGGUACAUUUUUUGCAGGCUUACACAUUCGCUUUGAACAUAGUCGAGUCUGCAAGUGGUUAUAUCCCAUCUCUUCUUUACAACAGUCAGGUAUAAAUCAAUUCAGCCCUUGGCUAAAUCAAUUGUUCAGAAACCAUGUGAAUAAUAUGAUGCGCGUCAUGCAGUGUAUUUUUCUUAGGAACACUGGAUUUUUUUUUCUAUGCAUUCUUUAUGUGAGUUUUCUUAUAAUAAAAUGCCAUUUUAAUCCUCAUUUUCCUAUGCGGUGAAGAGUUGCGAUUUAUGUUCAUGAUUCACGAUUCAAAACCAUGUCUUGGUUACAUGACUGAUGACUCAUGAGUAUUACAUUUUUAAUACAUGGGCAGCUGUUUAGUUGCCAUUUAAGUACGCUAUACUUUUGCACUAGGAUAACUAGUUAACUCUGUAGUCAAAUAGCAGCUAUAGUGGGGCUAUAGUGUAGCAAAAUGCCAUAUUUUCGCGAUUUAGUACAAGGAAUUGUCAACUAGUGGCUAUAGCAGCGCUAUAACACUGUAGCGUAGUGGAGUCUGUGUAAACCCCUAUUUUUUGCAAUGUUCGAUUGACAAAAUCUACCCGAAGUUUCUUAAUGUGUAUAUAUGAAUUUGAGAUUUAUCAUAAGAUUGAUUUUAACAGCACAGGCACUAACUACAGUAUUUUUAAAUCUUUUAUAUAUAUUGCAAUUCACCUAUCAAUGUGUCCUUUGCAAUAUUAUAUUUCGUUAGUGUUAUAUAUUCUCUCAACCGUAGAGUAAACUUAUUGGUCCUCUUAAGAUAUAUACAACAUCAUAUCAGUCUUCCAUAUAUUAGCAAAGUCAAAUUAGUAAUCAUAAUGACAUCAAUUUUAUCCUUCAAAAACUGAGUUAUUGUCAUUUUAAGGAUGAAUUUGAUGUUAAUGAUGUAAAAUUGAAGGAUCAAUAUGACGUGUUGAAUACCUUUACAAAUCAAAGGCCAGUGUCAUGUCACCAGUUUGAUGGCACAGCUGCUAACUCUUGGAAAUAAGAUCAUACACCACAUUUAUUACCAGUGUAUAUUAUUCUUGGUUGGUUGACUUAAAAAUCAUGGUUAAUUAGUCUUGUCUUGAAUCAGGAUAAGUUUGAUCUUGACAUAGUUAUCUAUUGUCCCAUUGCUCUAUGUAUGGGUUAAUCAGCUGACAAUAUGACGAUUUUCAUUGUAUUUGCAGGAGUUGAUAAUCACCGCAUCAUCGGCAUUCAUGCUUUUUAUUUUGGGAUCUUUUUAUAGAUAAUGGACCUUUCUUGAAGACGUAGAAACCAGUCAAUUUAGUGAUGACCACAAUACUGUGUUCCUUUUCCUCUAUUGUCAACGGAGUUCUUUUGUUGUUUCACUCAAAUUUUGUCAAAAGAGAAAUACAUUUCUUUAUAAAGUAGGAAUAGUGUUAAUUUCAAGUUUUGUUCUAUUUGAAUGUUGUGUAUGAUGCUCAUUUGGGCUAUUAUGUUCGAAGCUCCUCCCUAAUUAAUUACAUGAUUCACAUUCAAGCAACCUUGCUUAUACAAAUGCAUAGAAGAAAGGAAAAAUAUUAAGGUCUUGAAAUUAAAUCGUUGACCUUGAGAUUUGCACAUUCAACUUAGAAAAUGUCUAAAUAACCAACUAUAACCAAAAUUAUUUACGAGCUUGAAUAAUUGUAAUAUUUCAUGAUCGUUGUCUUAGAAUCAUGUAUUAUGUACCAAGUUUAACUGGAUAUAAUUAAGUCAACAGCUUUGAUUUAUGGUCAACCCAUACUAAGAACGAAGUGUAUUGGGCUUGAAUGUUUUAGUUAUUUUUUCCUCUUUACUAUUUCCUUAUUAUUUCUUCUUCCUUUGCAGCAUUCACGGGGAAUACAUGAUUAAAAUGGUACCAUAAUUGGGAUGAGGUAAAUUCCACCAUUAGAAAUUGGAGUUGGAGUAACAGAACAAGUUUAUGACUAUCUCUCCUCUAUAAUUACAGUUUAUUGAUAUUUUUGUUGACAAGUACCAUGAAUAAGUCUCACAUCGGCUACUACUAAGAUUUUUGCUAUGUUUAUAACUUAAGUGUGAGAGCACCUGCGUUGUGUUGUGUUCGUGAAAAGGAGAGAUGAUUGGCAUCUCCCCUGACAGGGUUAUGGGAACUGCUUUCGAGCAUUCCUGUUACACACACCCCGGUUAAGGCUAUCCACCUCCUCGAGGUUGGAUCUAAAACCAUAUGGUUGUUUGUUGGAAAUAGUAUACCAUCUCUUACCAUACUAUGUACUAAUACACAUCUCCAUACCUUUUAUACGGAUAGAAAUUUCAAAUAAAUCCAACUAAUUUUAUUUUUUUUUCCUUCAAAGAAGCUAAAUUAACCACUCAAAUUGACACCGGAGACAAUCGAACAUGAGACUUUGAGGAGGAGCACACUUCAUGGUCUCAAGUCAAUACCACCACGCCAACUCAAAUAGGUUCUAACUAAAUAUUUUAUUUAAGAGAAUAAAAUAAAAUAUAUGACCAUCAACAAACUAUCUUCCCAGCACAAGAUAUAUCAGAGAAGACAACCAAUAAAUACAUCUAGCUUUCAACGAAAUCAAGCAAACAUUAGCCAAUACCCAAACAUAAAACAAAUGUUUUCACACUAAUUAUGAAACUAAUAAUGUAAAACAACAAAUUAAUCACCAGAAGGAAAGAAGUUUAAUAUUCUCCAAAAGCUGAAGAGGAGGGUUAUCUUUGAGGCAGAAAAGCAUACCAUUUCAUUCCUUCCAAAUCACCCAAGAACUAGCUAAUCAGGUAAAAAAACAUGAAAGAACACCUUGAUUUUGCAUAACCUGAAGAAUUACCAAAAAUGAUGAAAAUGAUCCACAAUGGUAGAUGGAUCAAAAUGUUUUAAAAAUACUCUACCAUAAAAAUAAAAUAGAAAUAUCUAACCAAUAAACUUUUGAGUGAAGAUUCAAUUUGCUUCGUCACAACUUUCCUCAACUAAAUUUACUUCCGACAAAAAUAAAACUCAUAAAGGAUAAAUUAGUCUCCGACUUAAUAUAUAACAAAGGAACUAAUUUAUCUCCGAUAUAAAAAUAUCAACAACUACUUUAAUAUUUUUUUAAAUCUUAAAUGACUAAAUUGGGUCUUCAAUCUAAACUUUUUCCACAAAGUUUAAUAUUUUGUUGUAUUGAAUUGUAUCUUCAGCAACUAACCUCAUUUUUUUUUUGAGUCAUUCAACAACUAACCUCAUAAAAAGUCAAUAAUUAAUAUUAUUGAGUGCAAUAAAUAAUGUAACCUGUAGACUAAACAGUAUUGUCAUAAAAAAUAACUUUUAAUGAAAUAUUUUAAUACUAUAUAAUAAUCAUUGGCAAUUUUAUUAUAUAUUCAAUUUCAUAUUUUUUUUAUUGUAUUCUUAAAUAAUUACUCUAUAAAUAUAAUUAUACAUAAAAUACUCCCUCUAGCCUCUAGGAUACCUAGUAGAAACCAUUUCAUUGGUUGUUGUGUCUUGUCUUUUAUAAUAUUCUUCAUAGAUUGAUUAAUAAAUUGACUCAAAUUUGUCCCAUGCAAUGCAUUUCAGUCCAAAUUGGUCUGCUUGAUUUAAUCUAAAUUGAAAACACACACAUUCAUUUACAUAUUCAUCAUUGUGUUACUUACAAUUUUGUUGGAAUAUAAGGUAAUCACUGCCUCUUAAACUUCUUAGUUCGUUCUGUUCAUUUUUCUGCCACUGAUUCUGCUAGAAUUAGUUGGAUAUGGCUAAAGGUAGUUUACAAAUUGGUUAAUACCAAUAAUAAUAAGUUGGUGAAGAUUAGUUAUAUUAGUUAAGAUUUCUGUAUAAAGUGUAUCAAUUUUUCUUUCAAUUCAUUUUUCUCUUUGUUGGAGUUUAUCAUGUUUCUCAACAGAUUCUGUGCAUGUGCUCAAUGCUGUGUUUCAUUUUCAUAAGCUAAGAACUAUGGUAUAAAAUUAUAUGAAAGAUCCAUGAUGUAUCAUAGUCUAUUAUAAAUUUGUUAUUCUGCGUUAUCCACGCUCGAAGCGUAGAGAUAAGACCUGAAUAGAAUUUGAAGUUAUGGAAUCAUGAAUUUGUAUAUAAUUGCUAAAUUGAUUUAAUCGGUUCGAGUUAAAUUUGGGAGAAUAGGAGUGAGUUAUGAGACUUACAUUUUGAAUUUUGCUUUAGUUGCAGAAAAAAUGGUAACUAGGACAGUGGAUCUUCGGUCAGAUACAGUCACAAAACCGACUGAAACAAUGCGAGUUGCUAUGGCAAACGCUGAGGUCGAUGAUGAUGUUCUUGGCCGCGACCCUUCUUGUUUUCGCUUAGAAGAAGAGAUGGCAAAGAUAACGGGAAAAGAAGCUGCUCUUUUUGUCCCAUCAGGCACUAUGGGGAACCUCAUAUCUGUGCUUGUUCAUUGUGACAUAAGAGGGAGUGAAGUUAUUCUUGGAGACAAUUCACAUAUUCAUAUUUAUGAGAAUGGAGGCAUUGCAACCCUUGGAGGUGUACAUCCAAGAACAGUUAGAAAUAAUGAAGAUGGAACCAUGGAUAUUGAUUUGAUUGAGGCGGCAAUUAGAGAUCCAAAAGGGGAGCUUGUUUAUCCAACCACAAGGCUCAUUUGUUUGGAAAAUUCUCAUGGAAAGUAAGCAAUUCUUUGAUCAAAAUUUAACUCUAGUAAUGUUUUGUUGGAUACGGCUCAUAGUUUACUGAUAAAUCGACAUAUCGCUGAAAUAAUAGAAAGGUACUGCAACUACUCUGCAGUCGGAGAUGUAGGCAGAAUUGGCCGAACGCCGUGAACAAACCUUGUGUGCUCGUUGUAUUUUCGUUUAUCGCAUAUGUUUUCUUUUGACUCAGAGAUGCUGUCCUAGCAUGUUUUUACAGUACUUCCAUUAUUUACAUUUUCUCACAGUACAUUGUUGCUUUUAUAAUCUGUUGCCUGUGAAUGAAGGACUAUAAAAUGAUUUAGUUUAUAAAAUGAUUUAUAAACAUUUCAUAAACUAAACCAUUUUAUAACUAAGGUAUAUGUUGAUUGUUCAAGCAAAAAUGUCGCCUUUUUAAUAAUGUAAAGUUAAAAAUUCCUUCAAUGGUUGUCUAUAUUAUAUAAUGCAUUCACAGUAUGAAUGAUUGAAACUUUUGUUUCCUAAAUGCAGCACUGGUGGUAGAUGCCUUUCGGUUGAAUAUACAGAGAGAGUUGGAGAAGUUGCUAAGCAGCAUGGACUGAAGCUUCACAUCGAUGGAGCCCGUAUAUUUAAUGCAUCAGUUGUGAGUACCUUUUGUCAUUUAUCAUAAACAUUGCUUUGAGUUCUUUAAUCUGGCUCCUGCUAUCAUGCAUAUAUAAACAACUCAUGACAGAAAAUUGUGGUUUUUCAGGCACUUGGUGUUCCUGUGGAUAGGCUUGUUCGAGCGGCUGAUUCAGUGUCAGUAUGUGUCUUCUUUUACCUUCUCUUUUAUUGGACAUGAUUCUUGGAAAGACUCUUCUAGAGUAAAUAUGUUCCAAAGUUAGAAAAAAGGAUGUUUCUGUUCUUGGAUUAUCUAAUAGAUUAAAAUUGUGAUAUACUUGUCGGUUUCCCGAGAUGUUUCUUGGUUCAUUCUGCAACCUUGAAGUACUCGGUUCGAAGCUAGCACAAUUAUUUUUUCGAUAUACUCAAAACUAAAUUAAAUGUGAAUACUAAUUCUUAAUGGAUCACUUUAGAAAUAAACUCAAGAGUUUUUGCCAACAUUUAGUAUAGUGUCAUGGCAAUGACAAUUUUAGGUAUCUUAAUGCAAUUACCAAAUUCAAAUCAAAAGGUUAUAUAUGAACUAACCAACUUGUGAUAACUUUGAAUAUAUAUAUGAAUUAGGUUUGCUUAUCUAAAGGUAUUGGUGCUCCAGUGGGAUCUGUAAUUGUUGGUUCCAACAGCUUUAUAACCAAGGUAUUUCAAAAUCGUUAAUGCGAGUACAGUAAAAGUGAUAUUAUUCUUUUUGAAAGAACUUGAUAUUAUAACUUUGGUAUGUAUAUCUGCUAUUUUAGGCUAGAAGGCUUAGAAAGACCUUAGGUGGUGGAAUGAGACAGGUUGGCAUCCUUUGUGCAGCUGCACUUGUUGCAUUACAUGAAAAUGUUGAAAAGCUAGAAAGUGAUCACAAGAAUGCUAGAUUUUUGGCUGGUAUGUUCUUUACAAUGUUGACCUAUCAAGUAAAGACACAAAAACGAACCAAACACAACUCUGAUAGAAAUAAUUCAUUUACAGCCACAUUUGUCGGUGUUUGUUGUUCUCGGACACUGACACAUGUUGGACACCGGACACCCUUCAAUAUCACGUAGAUGUUAAUUGGUUCACAAGCAAUCCUAGCUAGCCUGUUUGAAGAAGUACAAUUUAAGCGCACCCUUUAAAAAAUUUCCUCUAACUUGUCCUUUAGAUGGAUUGAAUGAAAUCAAAGGACUGAGGGUGGAUACAUCUUCUGUGGAAACCAAUAUUGUAAGUAUUUGGUAGAGUCCAUUCAUUCAUACUAGUACAACAAUUGCAUUAUUGUUUCUCUGAUUACUUAUGUGUUUAAUCAAUAAUCUCUGAUAACAGAUAUAUAUUGAAAUUGAAGAGAAUUCAGGAACCACAGCAGCAAAGCUAUCCAAGGACUUAGAAGAAUAUGGCAUACUUAUCAUGCCAAUGGGAACAUCAAGGUCUUGUCUGUCACACUCUGCAUUGUUACUAAUAAUUGAAAUUAUUAUUGAUUAAACUUUUAUUAAAGUAAUUUAUUCAUAUGAAUCUUAUCGUAUCAAAUUUCAUUGGUUCAUUUUCUCUUGACAGAUUGAGAGUUGUAUUCCACCACCAAAUAUCAGAUAGCGAUGUGCGAUACACUUUGUCGUGUUUUGAGGUAAUGAACUAGUGAUCAUUCUCCUUGUUUUGCUGUAUAUAUUUCUUUUCUUUUUCUUGGUAUAUAUUUUAUGUUUCAUGAUUUUAUUGAAUGUUGCAGCGUGCUGUUGCUGGAGAACCAAAUGAAAAUGGAAACUAGUUGAAGAAUUUCAAGUUUGUUAACUUUGUUUGAAAAAACAAAUUUUCAUUCAGUUGUGUGAAUAAAUAUGGACCUUUUGUUUUGUUUGUAAUUUUUAGGUGAACUCUAACCCAACACAUUAUUAAAAUAAUUAAAAUUAUUGGUUCAUAUUUUUAUUGGCUAAGUGUAAGAAUAGUGUGUUGGUUGAAAGUUAACACAAGAAUUUCUCCAAAUAAAAUACAGAGCAUGAUAUGAUAUGAUAUGAUAAGAAGGUUUAAUUCAUAAUUUAUAGGUAUAAUUGUACCAAAAACUGCAUCUCUAGGUUGUAAUGAUAGUAUAAAUAAAUAUUCAAAGGAACUGAACUUGAAUAAUGGAGAAUUUAGUACAGAGAGAGAUUAGAAGAGAAAUGAGAUCAUCAUAUAUUUCAUUACCCUUUCUAUUUGAAGAGGUUGUAUACUGGAAACACGAGUAUUUCUUGGUUGAACUGGAAACGUUGUAUACUCAUUACCGGGAAAAAAAAUACAAAACGAUAGGUUUGAGGUGAACUAAAAAAUGUUGAAAGUGAAAGUGAAAAUUAACAUUUAAAAUAAUUAAAUGAUAUGUAUUUUGAUGCGUGUGUCCAAAUCUUGUAACCACUCAAAUAUUUUUUGAGAGUUUCUUGCUAAAAAGGGUGUUAACAAGUGCUUUAUUGUAACUUUGUUGUCUUCUAUGAUUUCACUUAUCGUCAUGUUGCUUUGCUCCUAGCAGACUUUCGUCCUUUUCUAGUUUUCAUUUUGCAACUAUUUCAUUUUUUUUCUCUACAAACAUUUAAUAAACAUACAAAAUUGACAUUAAAUGUCAACAUUAAAUUUAGAUGAUUGACAUAGUUGAAAUAUUUCUUUUCAACUGCAUUGUAGGACCUCUUGAAAUUUCAACUACUGCAAUAAUUUUCUUUUACCAACAUAUGAAUAACUAUUUUAAAUGUUUCUUUCUGCAACCAACAAUAGACACUUUGAUGGAAAGUGGAAACAUUAACUCAUAAAAAUAAUAACACUUUACAGAUUUCAUUAUAAUAACAAAUUAUUUUUAUCCUGUUUAAUUUUUAAGUUGACACAGUAAGGAAGGGUCCACCAAGGUCCUUAAUAUUGUCCACUAUCUCAUAGAGACACUGACUGUAGGGUGAAUUUCUGCCUCACCUGAAGGAACCUCUUUUCAUCCAUUGUGCAAUGCAAUGAACUUGGUUUUAAUUAGUUUAGGAUUUGAUGUUUCAUCCAAUAACACUUUUUAUAAUUUGUCCUCUCAGGUCGAUUCAGUUUUAGAACAACCAUUUUCAUGAGUCAUGACUUUCCGGUGAGAUUAAUCUUAACGAUACUCACUUCAACAUCUUUUUUAAUAUUUACUCUCUAAUUUAGCUUAAAUUAUUGUAUGUCUACAUUUUAAAAAUUAAACACACAUAAAAUAGUAGGACAUAUAAUAAUUUCAUCCAAUAAAAUAAUUUUCAUAGAAUAUUUUUCCGUUUAUAUAACUACAUAAACUAAUCCCUUCAAAAAGAUCACAAGCAAAUUUAUUAGUCAUCUCUUUCAUUUUUUUUUUUUUUCGUUUUAUAUCUUCAAAUUUAAAUAGUAACAUUUUAUUUUUGACAAAUUUAAAUAGUAACAAAUAAUAUAAAUUAAUAACACAUGUUUACAUAAUAUACUAGCGUUCAUAUGGAUACCACAUGUCCGUCCAUUUAUUCUUUUUAUUGUGCUAAUACGAAUAAAUUACGAACAAUAGUUAUUUUGAUUUUGAUUAAAAUUAUAGGUAGAGGGAGGGAGGGAGGGAUGGAGGGAGGUGUAACACCCCGUUUUCCCAACUUAAAAAUUUCAAAACAUUUAUCAGAGUAAUCAACACAUAAACGGAAUGCUACACUUCUAAAAAUCAUGAACGAGAUAAUUAACUAAUUAUCCUUCAACAUAAAUCAAUUCCUAAACAUUGCAGCGGAUUAAGUUCAUCAUCAUAAAUAAGUCUUGGCACGCAGGCCUCAUCAAACAUCUCAUAAUUAUUCAGUUAAACAGCUUAAUCAUAAAAUCAUAAUCAAAUACGUAAAGGAAUAGAAAAUAGCCACUAAAGAUCUCAUCCCGUUACGUAUCAGAGCACCUAAAAGACACAGUGAGGGAUAACCAAUCACGACGGCAAGCAACAACAACUACUCUCGAUCACCUGCAAGUUACUCAUACGAAGAGCAACAUUUCCAAACAGAAGGGGUGAGAUUUCACAAAACAAUAAUAUUAAACAUAUAAUUCAACAAUUAUAUUUAACAACAUGAAAACAUCAUAAUAUUCAUCAUAGAUAAUAAUAUAUCAUUUAUCACUCUAUUAAUAGUUCAUAUAAAGAAUCACAACUUCAACAGCUUGGCAACUUAACAUCUUUGACUCGACAAAUGCGACUCCAACUCGACUAUGCAACUUAGACCUCUUAUAUGCAUGUGGUACCAAUCCAGGGCAUCAAGCCCUCAACGUAAUAAGUAUUAAUAUACUUAAAAGGCAUCAAGCCCCCAACAUAAUUGAGCUAAAGCUCCAGAGCAUCAAGCCCCCAACGUGGUGAGCAAAGGCUCUAGGGCAUCAAGCCCCCAACAAUGAAUGCUAAUGCAUGGACACAACAACUUAACUUCUUAUAAACAACAACCUCUUAAUAUAUAUCCAAUAAUUUGGAACAUCAUCAUCUUAAUCAACUUAGACCGACUCAUGCAGCUUAGUUAAAUAACAAACAACAACAUAGACAGUAUGCAUAUCAUCAUGAUAUAACAAUAUCGAAUGCAAGUCAUCAACAUCAUAAACAUCAAACAUAAUUCAUAUAAUGUAUAUACAAUUAUAUAACAUUAGCGACAACAUUAGAUUAUACAAUUCAGGCUUACUGAAACAACAACAACAAGAUAAAUAACUUAGUUUCUAACCUCCAAGAUCAACUCACAUCAACUCGUCCGACAAAGAUCACAUUUAACCUAAACAAAGCAUUCUGUAACUGGGCAGUUCGCGAGGCGAGGGCCUCUACUCGCCAUGGCGAGUUCAUGUGUAACUCUCAAAAUUCGUUCUUAAACUAUUCCAGAUUCAAUCUUAAUCUCCAAUCUUUCCUAAUCAUUAUUAGACAUGUUCAGGCACUCAAAAACAUCUAAGGUUCAACUUAAAGGUCAAAAUUACGAAAUCAUGAUACCUCUCUGGUCACACUCGCUAGGCGAGUGAAUCUGCUCGCUAUGGCGAGCUGCAAGAUGCAACUCGCGAGGCGGGUAAAAGUUGCUCGCGAGGCGAGCGAAGAAGUUCAUCACUCGCUAUAGCGAGGAUCAUAGCUCGGGAGGCGAGCGAUGAAUGUUGGCUCGGGCAGAAGUGCAGUUUUUACGAAAAUUCACUAUUUCUCAUAGUUUUAAGCCUAACAUUGAUUCUUGUAAUCAUCUUAUGACUUAUCUAAGGUCUGUAAACAAAUUCUACAUCAAUCUAACAACUUUUCAUCCAUUAAUCCUCAAUUUCUCUCAUUAACCCUAAUUUUCCAACUUCUCUAAUUCAAUCCUAUACUUGCUAAAUACAAUCAUAUGAGUUAUAUAGAUUAAUAAAAUUGAAUGUUAGUCUCACCCUUACCUUAGAAUUCAAAAUCGCAGCUCUUCUAGGUCACUUUCUCUUCUCUUGACUUUUUCUCCCUUUUCUCCAAAAACUGAUCGUACAUACUGUUUUUCUAAACUAGGUCUCUCCUAUUUAUAUCUCCUAUAUCUACUUUAUCUUAUUCCUCUUUCUCCCCCAAAACUCUCUAAAAUCUCAAAACAACCUCUCAACUCAAUAUUUAUUUUAUUUUCAAAUCUUAUUUUAUUAAACAAUAAAGUAAGUCACAACUCCUCAUAAAAUCAUCUUAAAUCACACAUAUCAUAUAAAUAUAAUAUAAACUCAUCUUAAUAAAUUCUAGACUCAUUUAAAUAAUUAAAUAAUUUAAAGAGGGCGUUACAGGAGGGGGGAGGGAGAGGAAGAGAGAGGGAGAGAAAGAGAGAUUUUGGUUUCACAGAACCAAGGUUACACAAAAGUGAACUAGGUUAAAUAUAAAAUGCUUUAUCACAAAGUUUCUAUUUAUAAAACCACUUGAGUGGUUUGCAAGCUAAGCCCAUUAUAUCUUACGGUAUACAACAUUUUCACUUAAACACGUUGUACCAUACGAUGUAUUGUGUUUCUAUAAUUAGUGUUGGUGUAUCAUACGAUCACACCACCAAAUAAGUCUCACUUAUUUAUAUAAUCUAUCAUCAAUAUGUUCUGAUGUGUGUGAUCAUCUAGGCUCUCGUAACGUUAAUAAUCAUAUUAAAUAACACAUUUAAUAUUAUAAACAGUGAAGGGGUAUUCAACAAUACAUCACUACUAUCAAAGUGACGAGAAUGUUAUGUGAUUUGACAAAAUUUGUAUGUAAUAAAAUGUUUUCAUGUAUAAUCACCCUUUUACCCUUAUGUAUAUAUCGAACAAAAGACAUAAUGUGUCAUCCUUGUCCAGUUCAGUAUUGAGACUUUCGAUGUUUUUUUUUGUUAAGUAUAAGGGGUAAAUUCCAUUUAGGUCAUUCAUGUCCCUCAACAUGAUUUGUGGCGUACAGAUCAAUCGACUUUAUGAUCAUCUUGUUACUGACGACGUUUGAACGACAACAAAAUACUUGACUACACAACUAGGGUCCAUAGUGUGGUUUUAGGUCGAAGGGUAUAUCAUUAUGAGAAUAACUUAUGACACUUACACAACACUCUGUAUAAUAUUCUCAUAGCAAGUCAAUCAAAUAUAAAUAUUAUGAGUAAUAUUUAUACCUAUGUGAAAACUUGGUAACUCUUUAUUCAUGAUCGGUGAGAUCUGAUCACCAGCCUACCUACGUAAUAGUCUAUACACUAAUAUUAUCAUACUUCACAAUAAAGUUCGACUACAAAUACUUAUGUUCUAUAUGUUAAUGAAGUCUCAAGAUUACGUCACACUUAAUGUUCCAUUACUCAAACUAUCUAUUUAUGGGACUUUAAUAAUCUUUUAACAAAUAUAACAAAGAACGUCUGAUACUCCCUCCGUCCCAAAUUGUAAGACGUUUUGGGCAUUUCACACAUAUUAAGAAAUGUAAUUGAUAUUGUGUGAAAAAAAGAUAUUAUGAGUUGUUUUACAAAAUUGUCUUCAAUAAAUGAUAUGGGAAAGAAAAAUGAAGGAAUUGAAAUAAGAGAAAGUAAUAAAUAGUUAAGAAUAUAAUAGGAAAAGUAACAUUAAUUUUUCAUUGAUAUUGUAAAGCGACAUAUAAUUUGGGACAAAUAUUUUUUCUAAAGUGACAUACAAUUUGAGAUGGAGGGAGUAUUAUUUAAUAAUAAAAAUCCUAAUACAAAACAUAAAUUUAAUUUAAAACUAUUGGCCUCUAGAUUUUUAUACAACAUAAAGUAAAUAAAACAUGUGCCCAUUGAAAAUUAGAAACCAAGGACAAAACUCAAAAACUUUAAGAUCGUAGGUUAAUGAUAAAUCAUGGUUAAUUAACAAAUCUACCACCUCAUUCGCUUAUCUUAUAAACCGGACCCACCUAACAUUUCCAUGCAUUUAUGAGGAAUUGGAAUUUUAUUGACCAUUAUUGAGGCGGCAUCACACUGACGACAAUCCUCCAAUAAAAAUAUUUCGUCAAACAAAGAGUCAGCGUAAAUCAUAAUAUUUCUAUAACUUCUUCUCAUAUUUUUAAUAAUUAAUUGAAAUUCAUUAAUACAAUUCUCAUAAAUAUUGAUUAAUUAAAAAUAAAUUAUAAAAUAAACAUUCUUUAAGCAAUUAUUCAAAGGAUCGUGACUAUUGACCAUGUGAAUUGUCCCAAAGUCAAAAGAUUGUUUUAUAUAACAUAGUACACAUAUUUAAGAGGUUUGAAUUUCACAAUUUUAAAAUUGACUGGUAAGCAUAAAUGAAUAAAAUAAAAGUAAAUAUGAAUAAAAAUUCAAACCAUACAAUAUAUUUCUAAAUUUAUUUUCAUCUUGACAAAAAUAUUAGAUAAACACACACAUAAAAUAUAUAUAUAUAUAUAUAACACACACAUGUCUGCCCCUCUAUGGUCAUCUCACCUCACAUCAUCACUGCUCUAAACACUGCCACACCUUGUCUUGUUUUGGGCCAUGUCAAUAGAUUAACAAUUACCCUAUUCUCUCUUGCUCUCUUUUUUUCUUUCAUGUGAUAAUAAAGUGAUACAUACCACUUCACUUCACUUCACUUCCCAUCACUCACAGUCACAGUAUUGAAACUCACACUUUGUUUGCGUUUUUUUGUGGUAAAGUAAGAAAACACAACACAUUCUUUCUAUCUAGUUUCAUUCCAUUUCCAGCAAGCAAUUGCAUUGCAUCUACCAACAAUUUACCUACGAUCGACCGAACAAACAAAGGUAUAUCCCUCUCUUCAUUUUCUUUAACUAUAUAUAUAUAUAUAGUUUUUCUUUUGAUUGAGUUACUUUAAGCUAUAUAUAGUUGCUAGUACAACCCUCACUCAUUUGCCAUGCACUGUUCUUUCUUGUUUUAAUUCUAGCUACAACAAGGAAAAGGUGGAAAACCCUAGCAAUUCACAACAGAAGAACGUAUACUAGGUAAUCUUUUUUCCAUUUAAACUAUUUAUUUAGAGUUGUUUGUUUAUAUCAAGCCCGUUCAUUACAAUUUUUUUUUAUUUUUUUUUUAGAAAAAUCUUUUCUUUAGAAAAUAAAUUUCUUUUAUUUAUUUUCAUCCGUUUGUUAUAAAUUUUGAAUUAGUCUAAAAUAAGCUAAAUUGGUUUAGAUGAGAAAUAACUAUUUUUGAUAACUGAGUUUGUUUUAAAAGUUAUUUUCCAUCAUGACAAGCAAAAACAAAAUAGCUUCAAGUUUUUAAAAAAAAUUCUAAACAUUAUUCUCUAAAUUAAUAAACAUAAAAAACAUUUAUAUAAUAUGCCAGAAAAUAUAUUUUUUAGUGAUUUUAACUGUAUUUGUGAUUUUUUAAAAAUUAAUUUCGAAAUAUAAUAAUAUGAUUUUACUGACCGUACGUGUUAGAUUGAAAAGAAUAUUAAAAAAAAAUGAUUUCUACCGUUUUAUACAAAUGCAAAUCAAGUUUUGUUUGAUAUCUCUAGAUUUUAGAAAUUGCAUGCUCUAGAUGAUGGGUAGUACCAACCAAAUUUCAAGUUAUGUGAGUGUUCUCUUAUGAUGAUAAAAUUGAAUAAAAAAAAAACUUAAAAAGAUCGAUUGAAAAGAAUAUAAUCUCUAAAGAUGAUUUCUAGAUUAUUAAUUUUAUCUAACAAUCCCUUUUAUUUGAAUUUGAAUCUUAAACAAGGGACCGUAAUCACAGGAUUAUCAAAGAAAUAUGGCAUUGGUUUCAGCUGAAUCAACAAACCCUAGCAGCUACAAUGGAAGUGAUUCAAGUGGUGGCAACAAGAUCAACAGGUACGAGAGCCAAAAGAGGAGAGACUGGAACACAUUCUGCCAGUAUUUAAGAAACCAUCGACCAGUGCCACUUUCUGCUUCAAUGUGCAAUGGAACACAUGUUCUUGAAUUCCUUCACUAUCUUGAUCAAUUUGGGAAGACUAAGGUUCACAAUCCAACUUGUCCUUUCUUUGGGAUGCCAAACCCUCCAUCUCCAUGUGCUUGUCCUCUCCGUCAGGCGUGGGGUAGCCUUGAUGCUCUUGUCGGUCGCCUCCGCGCCGCAUAUGAUCAAGAGAUCAAUGGUGGAAGUAGUAAUCCUUUUGGUGAUGGUGCUGUUAGGUUUUACUUGCGUGAUGUUCGUGAUUUCCAGUCAAAGGCUAGAGGAGUUAGCUACCAUAAGAAAAGGAAGAGACCUAACCGCAACAUCACAACUAUUUCUCAAUCAUCCUCAUGAACUCAAAUCUAAAUCGCUGUUUAUGAUCAGAAUCUUCUUUAUAUUGCAAUAAAAAUGUGGCAAAUUUGAUCAACAUUGGGGGCUGCAUUGUGAUUAUAUUAAAAUCAUUCGUUAUUGCACUAAAAAUAAUAAUUAAGGGUUAUGUUUUUUCUUUUACUAAGGGGGUGAUUUUUUUUAUUGAAAUUUAUAAUACACAUAACAUUCAUGCGACAUGCAUGCACUUGAAUAAUUUUUCUCAUUAAUUUGUUCUUAUUGAAAUACAUGGGAAUGCUUUGUGUGUUAUGGUUGAUAUAUAUGUACUUUUGGUGGAGGGUUUUCUUUCUUAGCAUCCAAGAACAUGAAUUACUACAGAAUUAUUAGGUCGUUGAGUAUUAUUGAUCAAAGGAGAGACAAAAAUAUAUAAAUAACUAACGAGUCAAAUAUAAUAUAUAAUUGGUCAAAUCGGGUUAGGUAUAUAUCAGUUGAAUGAUAUUGUGAAAUACACCGCAAUACAAAAUUGGCUAGAUAGAUAGAUAGAUAGAUCACCCCCUAUUCUAUGCUAUAGCUGCCUGUACUGUACCUGGCUACAAAUGGACAUGUCUAAAGUAAUUUGAUGUAUAUUAUAUCAGCAACGAUAACUGAACACAUAAAUUUGGACACAAUACAGACACUAUGGGCAGUUUAGACAUUUCAGAUAUAAAAGCAGGGGCAUUUUUGUAAAAACAACACACUCCAUCUUCUUCCUCUCUUCUCUGCGUCCUUCCCUAUAUAUUCUUCCACCAUCUUUUGCUUCAUCACCACGACCACCCUCUCUCACCACCGCUGUCCUCAUUAGUGAUCACCACCACCGCGUUGUCCCUUCCAUUUGUUCGGAUCUAGAACUCGCGGCGUUGACGACCUCCUCUUCUCACUCCGCCGCCGGAGAUCUGUUCACCACCAUCAUCCUCAUCAAUAACGAACCUCGCCGUCCCUUUGAUCCGUCCAAUUCUGGAGACGUCGCGCCGCCGACGAUCUCCUCACUUCUCCCUUAUCCGACGACGAUCUUCUCUGUCUCGGGUCUGACUCUAAUCUUACGGUGUGGUUCCGUGAGUGGUCGCCGGAGAGAGAUUUAUGGUGAGAUAGAGUUGUAGAGGAGAGAAGAGUAACGGAGAAGAGGGAGGGAAGAGAGAAUUGAACACUGAGUUGCAGAAGUGGAGAAAGGAAGAGGGAAAGGAAAAAAAUAAAAAAGAGUGCAAAAAUAAGUAUAGUUAUACGGUGUUGAUUUUGUGUUUAAUUUUUUGUGUCACUUUAUCAUUUCUGUUAAUAUAUACAUUGCAUCUUGAUUCCAGUUUUGAUUUUUUC